UUUUGUCAAAGAUAUAGAACGACAACUAAGAGCAAGAUUUUAUCGUGAUGAUAACAAAAGAAAGUUGGCCAAGGAUAUAGAACCACGACCAAAUGUUUCAUUUUAUCCAGAUGACACCAAAACAAAGCUCUUCGCUGAAGAUUUAGAACCACGACCAAAUGUCUCAUUUUAUCCCGAUGACGAAACCAAAACAAAGCUCUUCGCUGAAGAUGUAGAACCACGACCAAAUCUCUCAUUUUAUCCCGAUGACGAAACCAAAACAAAACUUUUUGCUGAAGAUGUAGAACCACGGCCAAAUGUCUCAUUUUAUCCCGAUGAUGACACUAAAACAAAGCUUUUUGUUGAAGAUGUAGAACCACGACCAAAUGUUUCAUUCUAUCCUGAUGACGAAACCAAAACAAAACUUUUUGCUGAAGAUGUAGAACCACGACCAAAUUCCUUCUUUUAUCCUGAUGAUGACAUUAAAACAAAGCUUUUGGUUCAAGAAAUAGAGCCUCGACCAAAUGUUUCAUUUUAUCCAGACGAUGACACCAAAACAAAGCUUCUUGCUGAAGAUAUUGAACCACGACCAAAUGUCUCAUUUUAUCCCGACAAUCUAAAAGCCAAAGAGCAGCUCUCGGCUCAUUCUCACCAUGGGGAAGCUGGUUUGCAGGUGGCACAAGCUUAAGUUUAUUCAAUAUGAAAAACAGCCCAAGUAAAGAAUGAGAAGCAAUAAUAAUGAAGAACAAUAUUAAUAUGGUGAUGAGAAGAUUGAUGGAGCCUUUAUAAAUCGUUCAGGGUAUGUUUCAACAUGCUAAUGGUUGGUCUAAUUUACUUUUCUAUUGCAUAUGGGGUGUGUGAUCUUGUUAAAAAAAAUAAGUUGUGUACUGUUUACGAACUACAAUACUUGUGAGGAAGCUAUCUGUUUAAAUUUUCGUUUCCAAAUCAAAUGUGUGGGACAUUUUAAUUUAAUGGGUUUAAAAAUGUGUGAUAUUAUAUAUAAUGAAAGGGUGUAUAUAUAUUUGAUUGUGAUAUAUAUUGUUUACUUGAUAUUAUAUGGGUGCCCUCUUUAGGAAAUUUUAGAACACUUUCUUAUUUUGGGUGAUUCUAAAUUUUUGAAGGAACAAACCCUUUCUCAUACAUUUAUGUCCAUAUCUCUAUUCACAUAGUGGUAUACCAUUGUGGAGGGUCAUCCUUAUACAAAAAUUAUACUCGUUUUCUUUUUAGGUAAAAUUUGUGUCUUCAAUCCUUCAUGCACCAAAAAGCUUCAAAUAUAACCUAAAAUAUUUACAAAAUAUAUCAAUUUUAAGUAUCGAUAGAUAUUGAUAAACUCCGAUCCGUCCAUGUCUAUUAGUUUAUAGAUAGACAUUGAUAUCAAUGUAUACAUAAAUUCCUAUUAGUCUUUAUCACUAAUAGAAAUAGAAAUUUUAUUGUAUUCUAUGAAUAUUUUUAGUAGUUUUUUUUAUUUACAAUUUAUCUGAUUGCAAUAAAGAUAUCUUAAGGAAAAGUGUUUUAAAUAAUACAAUUGUUAAAAAUAUUUAUAAAUAUAGUAAAAUUAGAUAUAGACUGUGAUGAACUCAAAUAAACAUCUACCAGUGUUCAUCACUAAUUAAAUUGAUGGAUACGUAAGUUUAUCGUAGUUUAUCAUAAAUAAAAAGUAAAAUUUUGCUUGAAAACAUUUCUUAUUUUCAACUAAUUUAAAUCACUUUUGGACCAACUUUCUAACCAAACUUACAGUGUGUUUGAACAACUUGUGAGAAAAUUAAUUUAAAACAAAAUCAUCUUUUUCCCAUAAUUAAGUGCUUAUGGAAAUAGCGAGGUUUGUACAAGUUAGACCAUAAAUCUGUUUGCUUAAACGAGAAUUAAUAAAUUAAGAAAAAAACAUUUUGAAAAGCUUGGAUGAAUAAUUCAAAAGCCAUUUUGAAAAGAAAAUAUUUUUUUCAUUUAAUUUGGAUUAUUUGAUUACACAUUUAAUUAUAAGAUUAAUUUUUAUAAAUAUAACAAAUCAGCAAAAUAUUUAUAGUCCUAUAACAAAAUGAAAAAGUCUUACCUAACUAUUUUCUAAAUAUUUCAGGUUUUUCCUUCUUUAUAAUCGUCUUUCUUCUAUUCCUCUGAAGUGAUUUUUGUUAUUUCUAGUCUUUUUCUCAUCUUUUGCAAUUUUUUAAAGUAUUUUUUUUUUCCUUUCUUUUCAUCUUUUUUCUUCUCCAAUUUUUCUUUUUCUUUUCAUCGUCAUUUUCUCUUCUUUUGCAUAUUUCUUUUUUCAAAUUGUUAUUUGAUUGUUUAGAUUGUGAAAAAAAAUCGUUGAAUAUUGGAUUGUCAAAUCUAAACAAUCGUGUAUCAAAACAUCUUGAACUUUUUUUUUUGUUAAGAUUUGGCUAGCUAAAUUUAAACGAUCGCGUACCAAUUAUAAACGAUCAUGUACCAAAAAAAUUUGAAAAAAAAUCGUUUAGACUUGGCUAUGCAAAUUUAAACGACAAAAUAUAAACGAUCGUGUGUCAAAUCUAAAUGAUCGUAUACCAAAAAAAUCUUGAAAAAAAUCGUUUAGAUUUGGCUACCCAAAUUUAAACGAUUGUGUUAAAAAAAAAUAGCCAAAUUUAAACUAUCGUGUACCAAAGAAUCUUGAAAAAAAUCGUUUAGAUUUGUGUUGGUCAAAUUUAAACGACCAAAUCUAAACGAUCGUAUAGGAACAAAUAGUGAAAUCUAAAUGAUAGUUCUCCAAAUACAUCACAUAUGUUGAAUGUCAAUUAAUCAUGGAGCAUUUUUUGUAUUUUCCAUUGUAAGCCUGUGGGCUUUUUUCAUUUUCAAAAUUGCUCUACAUAGCAUGUAAAAUAUUUUGGUGCUUUUUUAUAAUUUUGAAAAGACCCCUAAUUGUGACCAUUAAUUUCUUUUUGAAGAAAUUUUAAACUCUAAUUUAAACCAUGUGUUUUUUAAAAAAAAACAAGAAACAAAUAUUGACAAUUCUCUCAUCGUCAAGCUUAAAUUUAAGUCGUUUUUAAAAAAAUACAACAAACUGACAAUAUUUACACUAUACAUAACAAUUUUAAAAAUGGAAGAAGCCAACAAGCCCACAAUAAAAAUUGUCAAAAAUGCUCCUAGUCAACAUGUGAUUAAUCAAUCACACGCGCACGUGUAAUUCUUCUUUUAAACGAUUAUGAUACCCGAUCAUGUACCGAUCGUGUAGGAAAGGAUACACGAUCAUGCAUGUAGUAUCAACACUAGCCACACAUGUGCAUAUAAUUCUUCUUCUAUAAAUGAUCAUGAUACGUGAUUGUGUAUCAUUGUGUAGGAAAUGAUACCCAAUCACGUAGUUCAUGAUGUAUGAUUGUUAAUUCAUGAUAAACGAUGGUUUUAAAAAGUCAUCGUAAACGAUCGUGUAGAUGAUGAUCCACAAUCGUGUGUAGCUUAUGAUACACAAUCGUGUAGUUCAUGAUAUACGAUCAAGUAUAAAUGAUAAACGAUAGUUUUGAAAAGCCCUAGUAAACGAUCAUGUAGAUCAUGAUACACGACGGUGUAGGAUCAUGAUACACGAUCGUGUAGUUUAUGAUAAAUGAUAGUUUUGGAAAGACCUAUGGUAAACGAUCAUGUAGUUCAUCUCUGUCCAUGACACAUUGAAAAUGAAUAUUGCACAUGAAAAGACUAACUUCACCUAAUCAUUGAAUCUUUGUUUCAUAAACUAUAAACUAUAUGCUUUCUGGUCCUGAUUGAAUCAUAACUACUAAAAUUUUGACUCUAUAUUACCUAGUAUAUGGAUAAAACUCUGUCGAAUCCUUCAUGAAACGUAACCUAGAAUUGGAUCCUCAUUAUCUAAACAAACACAAAACAUAUAAUUGGGAAGUGAUUUCAGUAGUUAAACCUUUAAAAAUUUAUUUUUGCCCUUACAUUCCUAGACAAAACACCUUUAAAAGUAUCAAAUUAAUGAAAGGAGAGUGGUAUUAUAAACUAUAAAUCCUCCUUUUUUUUCACAGAUAGGGAAGUCCUGUGUAUAAUUCGAUUGAAGAAGAUGGAAAGGAAGAAGGAAGAAAUCGAAACUGCGCAAAAUUCAAAACAGGAAGGGAAACUUGAAAUAUUUAAGAAAUGGUUGGUUUCAUAGACUUUUUAUUUUGUUGUAUGGGCCGUAAAUAUUUUUGAAUUUUGUUACAUUUAUGUAAAUUAACCUAAAUUCAAUCUCAACAACACCAAAAAAAACUUUAAUUCUACUAAUUAAUUAAAUAUCCAUCCAACAAUUAUUUAAUUACUAAUUGUCGAAAAACAAUCAAUUGUAAAUCAGAUAUCUAAAAAUAACAUCCAAUAAUUCGAACAUAAUUAAAUUAAAUUAAGAUAAUUAAAUUUAAAAUUCCUUUAAUCUUUGAAUGUUCUAUAUUAUUAUUAUUAAUUUUACUUUUCCUUUUUUCUUAUUCAUUUAAAAUAAAUCUAACUUUUCUCUUAUGUUAUUAAACCCCAUCAAAUCCACUUUUUUCUUCCCAAAAAAUUAUAUUUCUACAAACAUUUAUAUAUUUUCACAAAGAGAAAUGGAAUAUUGUACACGAUCGUGUAAAAAUUUAAACGAUCAUGUACCAAAUAUAGCCAAAUCUAAACCGUCGUGUAUAACCAAAUAUCAAAGAAUACAAAUUUUUUAAUAUUGUACACGAUCAUGUACCAAAUAUAGCAAAAUUUAAACGAUAAUAUACCAACUAUAGCAAAAUCUAAACGAUAGUAUAUCAAAUAUAGUCAAAUCUAAACAGUUUUAUAAUUCUUUUAUAUUGUACACGAUCAUCUAUCAAAUAUACCAAAAUCUAAACGAUUGUGUACAAAAUAUAGCCAAAUUUAAACGAUUUUGUACCAAAUAUUGAUCGCGCUUGGUACAUGAUCGUUUAAAUUUAACUACAUGAUAGUGUAUUAUGAUCUUUUAGAAGAAGAAUUAUGAGUGUGUGUGGCUAAUUAAUUACGCUUUGACUAGGGACAUUUUUUUAUACUUUUCAUUGUGGGUCUAUGAAUUUUUUUCGUUUUUGAAAUUGUUCUAUACAACAUAAAUAUUUUCGCGCUUUGUUCUAUUUUAAAAAAAAACCCUUCCACAAAUAUAACUUUUUUCACUUCUCUCAUAAUAACUAUAUAGAUAUAAAUACAUAUAAUCACCCAAAAAUUCUUUAAAUCCACAACUUGAAUUGAAACCUCAUAUACAACUUAAUGUAAUUAUCAAUAAAACACCAAAAUCCAAAUCCUUCAAUUAAUUAAAUAUUCAUCCAAUCAAAUAUUUCCACAAAACCAAAUAAUUUUCAUUCAAUUUUCUCGAAAUAACACCCAAAUUGCCUUUUUUUUGUUGUUGGGAGGGGCAUUACAAAAUAUUUCUCUUAUAAACUAUAGUUUAAAAUGUGUAUUAUAUACACAUUAAUUUUAACCUUAUAGUUUUAAAAUAAAUCUAAUUCACGUUAAAUUAAUAUUUAAACUUAUAUAAAUAUUUUAAUCCCUCAUAAAUUAAUUUUAAUUCAUUUUGAAAAUUAAAUUUAUAUUAUAAAGUUUGAUUAAUAUAUAAACUUUAUAUUAUGAUGUAUUGUCAUACAUUAUUAUUUCUCUAAGUGAUUUUCAACCAUUCAAAUUCCAUCCAAAAUAUAAUAACCUCAUUAUUUUUUACAAGCUAGGAAAGGGACCUAAAUGGAUAUUGACAUCAUAAGUUAUAACGAAUGAGAUUAAUUGGCUAAAUUCAUUAAUCACGUUAAUCAAAAUUUAUUAACUUGUGUGCACACUCCACUAAAGACUCACAACUGAACUAUUCUCAAUGUAGAUAUAUUUUUGUGUCUGCCGAUAUAGACCAUUAACAUCAAGUCAGUCUUUCACAAGUGUUUGUAACACCAAAUAGGUCAAAUUACUAUUUUACCCCUAGGUUACUUCUUGGUUCUUAAAUAUACGAGUGUUCCUCUAAUGAACAAUGUGAUUAUGAUCUAACCAAUAAGUAGAACCCCUCUUGUGUCAUAUAGAGAGGGUAGAACCAUUUAUUUAAGUCCAAGAGACACCAUUUAAGACAACACUCAUCUACUUACCCUGAGUUGGAGAAAAGUGAAUUUCAUCUUGUGUGAUUAUAUACCCAGCUCCACGCUUGAUCUUGUUUCCAAAAUGGUUGGCUUAUUAUGUAAAAAAUUAGGCCACUCUUACCCGUACAAAUCAAAUAACAAUAUCUCACAAACAGGAGUUCAUAAGACACUUAGGAUUAAGACUAAGUUACCUAGAUCAUCCUAUUGAAAUAGAGACCUAUAACUAGUCAAUGGAGUUACAUCUAGUGGUUACUAUUUUAUGGUCUAGUCUUAUGCAAAUUCAUUGUAUAGGAUAGCCCAUUCACAUGUCGCUUACACAAAUGCAUAGGAUCAUUGCAUUUGUAUGAAAUACAAAGUGGAUCGUACCCAUAGUGUUACUAGGAUAAGUAGUUACCGAACCUUAUCCCUAUACCAUAUAUCCUUUAAGUUGUAUCUUGAACAUGAAUAACUUGUAGAAAUACAAGUUAUUGUAGACUUUUUAGGUAGAAUAACGAAGUCUUAAUGCAUGAAGAAAGAAAGAAAGCGCGUAGUAAACAAGAUAAAAUUAAUUUACUUGGUUACACGUUGUUAACUACAAAAGAGCUUUAUGUCUGUUUAUCGUGUUUUUCAUGCCUUCAUACAGGUUUUUAGGCGAAAAGAGAAGAGUAGCUAAGCGACAAAACGUCAGGCGAGGAGACAACACGACUAACAAAGGUGACCAGAAGUGUAAAGCCAGGAGUUCUGAAGCACUAGCAGACAAAAAGGUUGGAGCGACUGCCAGAAAAGGACGAAAAGAACGUAUGCAGCACAUAUAACAACUUUAUCAAAGAAUAACGGUUGUGUCUUCAAGAAGAAGUAUAUGAAAAAUCAACUGAAGAGCAAGUUUUUUCAACCUCCAUUCCAUUCAUUUGUUUUAGGUGAGAGCUUAGAACAAAGAGAGAGCUCCCCAUCCGCUUCCCUUGGUGUAAAAGGAAAAAAAACUAGAGUCAAUGAUUAUGAGAAAUCAUACUCAGUAACUCGCCUCAUUUCCUUGCAUCUUCACUUGUAAUUUAUAUAUAUAGUUGAAGCAUUCAUAAACCUCUCAAUGUAUUGCAUUCAUAGUUGAAGCUUUAGGCCUUUCGGCCAUGAAGUUUACAUUACAAAUAUAUAUAUUGAAAUUAUGCAUCCACUCAUGAUGCAUCCAUUCAUGAAGAAUCAUAACCAUUUAUUCCAACAAUCCCCCCCAUAAAUGAUAAUUUGACAAAUGGGAGAAAAUAAGCGUUCGGUAUUUUCCAAUGGAGAACCUGCAUGAUGAUAAAUAGUAUAAACUUUGAACUUUCCCUAGUGAAAAUCAAUCGAGUUUACUUGGUUAAUCAGUGAACAUGAUGUCUUGAACUGUUAACCGUUCUAGAGUAAACUAAAACAAUAGAUAUCACACAGCUUCUCAUUAUAACAAAGUUUGUUCUCAUGGUUGUGUUCGUUUUGACCUUGAAUACCGCCUGGUCUCAUGAGUGUUUUAGAGAAUGUUGCCUUAAAAAUUCUCACAGAAGCGGUCCCUUCACACUCACAUAGGUGAUUUCUGUAUAGAACAUCGUAUAUGUUCUUUUGUUAAUAAAUAUCACUAACAAAAAUCAUUAAAAGCAUAAAGCUUACCCUAAAACUAUACUGGCACUACCUCAUCAUUCGUAAAAUGGGAAAAUCUUUUAAUGCAGUGCUUGUUGUGUUAUUUAGAGAUCAGUUUUCCCGUUGAACCUAGAUCUUGAAAUCUCCAGUCAACUAGGUUGGGUUGCCUCUCUGGAUAAUUUCAUAUUAUAGGCUUUAAUUCCAUUCUUUUUGAUGAAUUUUCAACCAACUCCCUAGUUAGGCCUUUAGUAAGUGGAUUCGCUAUAUUAUCUUUUGACCUCACAAAGUAAAUUAUGAUAAUUCCACUAGAGAGUAGUUGCCUGAUUGUAUUAUGUCUUCGUUGUAUAUGUCGAGACUUACCAUUAUACAUAAUAUUUUGUGCCCUUCCAAUAGCUGCCUGGCUAUCACUAUGUAUACAUAUUGCAGGCACUGGUUUAGACCAAUUGGGAAUAUCUUCCAAAAAAUUUCGAAGUCAUUCUGCUUCUUCUCCAGCCUUGUCUAAGGCUAUAAAUUCAGAUUUCAUUGUGGAUCGUGCUAUACAUGUUUGUUUGGAAGAUUUCCAAGAAACAGCACCGCCUCCAAGGGUAAAAAUGUAACCACUAGUGGAUUUGGAGUCUUUAGUGCUCGAUAUCCAAUUGAUAUCACUAUAGCCUUCAAGUACAGCAGGAUAUCGAGUAUAGUGUAUUCCAUAAUUUUUCGUAUGCUUUUAAGUAUCCCAAAAUUCUCAAGAUAGCUUUCCAAUGAUCAUGACCUGGAUUACUUGUAUAACAACUUAACUUAUCGCAUAUUAAUUGUAUAGCUUAUCGCAUACGCUAUAUCAGGACGUGUACAACUAAUGAUGUACAUCAAACUACCAAUGAUGCGAGAGUAUUCUAAUUGUGCUGUACUAUCUCCAUUAUUUUUACUUAAAUGGAGACUUCCAUCAAUUGGGGUCUUUGCAAUCACAAUUUCAUGUUUUGUAUAUUUCUUCAAUAUUUUAUCAACAUAAUGUGAUUGAGAUAGCACUAAUCCUUGUGGGGUUCUAGAAAUUUUGAUACCUAGAAUAACAUCUGCGACACCCAUGUCUUUCAUCUCAAAUUUAUUGGCCAACAUUUGUUUGGUUUUCUUAAUAAUGUUGAUAUUGCUACCUAUAAUUAGCAUAUCAUCAACAUAUAAGCACACAAUGACAUGGUCAUGCUCAUUGCUUUUGACAUAUACACAUUUGUCACAUUCAUUGAUUUUAAACCCAUUGGCCGUCAUUGCACUGUCAAAAUUUUCAUGCCAUUGUUUUGAUGCUUGCUUUAGUCCAUAAAGAGACCUAAUUAAUUUGCAAACUUUCUUUUCUUGACCGAAAGAAACAAACCCUUCGGGUUGUUGCAUGUAGAUCUCUUCAUCAAACUCACCAUUUAAAAAUGUCGUCUUGACAUCCAUCUGAUGUAUCUCAAAUCCAUGCAAAGAUGAUAUUGCUAUGAGCAUGCGAAUGGAAGUAAUUCGAGUAACUGGUGAGUAUGUAUCAAAAUAGUCAAGUCCUUCUUGUUGCUUGUAACCUUUAACGACAAGUCUUGCUUUACAUUUAUCUAUUGACCCAUCGGUCUUCAAUUUUCGUUUGAAAAUCCAUUUGCAACCAAGUGGUUUACUUCCUAAUGGAAGAUCAACUAGUUCCCAAGUAUGGUUAUGCAUAAUGGACUCAAUUUCACUAUUCACAGCCUCUUUCCAAUAGGGAGCUUCAGGAGAGAACAUGGUCUCUUUAAAUGUUUGAGGUUCGUUUUCUAACAAAUAAGUUAAAAAAUCAUCAUUUUACUUCGUCUGAGUUCCUCAUUGUUCGUUAACUCAACAUUUGAUCUAUUGUGAAAUUCACUCGUUAUAACAUCAAACGAAUGUUUUUGUAACCUUGUUUCACAAAACAUUUUAUGAGGAAAAAUAUUCUCAAAAAAUGUUGCAUUCCUUGAUUCCAUGAUUGUAUUAACAUGUAUAUCUUAAAUAUCUUAUUUAUGAACUAUAAAUCGAUAUGCACAACUGUUACUAGCAUAACCAAUGAAUAUGCAAUCAACAGUUUUUGGUCCAAUUUUAACCGUUUUAGGUUUAGGCACGACAACCUUUGCUAGGCACCCCCUACUUUUAAGAAUUUAUAUGAAGGUUUUCUUCCUUUCCACUUUUCAUAAGGAAUAUUUUGUGACUUCUUAUGAGGAAUUUUGUUUAAUAAAUAAUUUGUUGUUAACAAAGCUUCUCCCCACAAAUUUUGGGGUAAACCUGAACUUAUAAGCAUUGCGUUACGUUCAUCAUUUCCUUAAGUGUUCGGUUUUUUCGUUCAGCAAUUCCAUUGGAUUGAGGUGAGUAAGGAGAAGUAGUUUGGUGAAUAAUGUCAUGUUCUGAACAAAAUUGUUCAAAAGGAGAACCAUAUUCACCACCUCAAUCACUUCUUAUUGCCUUAAUUUUUGUGCUAAGUUGAUUUUCAACCUCUUUUUUAUAAAGGUUCAACACUUCAAUUGCCUCAUCUUUGCUUUUCAGUAGAUAAACAUAACAAUAUCGAGUGCUACCAUCGAUAAAAGUAAUAAAGUACUUUUUUUCACCUCUAGUUUGCACAAAUUUCAAGUCACAAAUAUCACUAUGAAUUAACUCUAAAGGUUUGGUAAUUCUCUGAGUUGAAUGAAAAGGUGCUUUAGUCAUUUUUUAUUCCACACACACCUCACAUCGAUGAUUUGUGUCAAAAGUGAAUUUUGGAAUUAAGUUCAUAUUAAUUAGCCUUUGCAAAGAAUUAAAAUUAACAUGUCCUAGUCUGCCAUGCCAAACAAAUGACUCAACAAUAUAAGCAAAAGUAUAUAUUUUAUUAAUAAUACUUUUGGGUACAACUGUGAGUACAUUUAAUUUAAAUAGACCAUCACGCUCAAUAACCCUUUCCAAUGUACAUCUCGUUCUUGGAAAGUACAAACUUAUCAGAUACAAAGACCAACUUAAAGCCAUUCUUACUAAGCAAUGAACCAGAAACUAAGUUAUUGCGAAUGUCAGGAACAUGAAGCACAUUGUUGAGAGUUAAUUCCUUGCCAGAGAUCAUCUUAAGAAUCACUUUGCCUUGUCCCUCAACCUUUGAAGUAGAGAAGUUACCCAUAAAUAGUUGUUCUCCACUAGAAACUAGCACAUAUGAUGUGAACAUAUCCUUGUUAGCACAAAUAUGACGAGUAGCCCUAGUUUCUACCCACCACUCCUCGGAAUUGCCCACCACGUUGCAUUCUGAAAUGACUACACAAAGGUCAAUAUAUGCAACACCAUCUGAUACGUCAUCAACUUCUAUGAUACGAGCUUGGGCAUGUUUUUUCUGAAGAUUCUUUGGCUUACGAUAAUCUUUUGAUUGAUGUCCCAUUUUGUUGCAGUUGUAACACUUGUCAUUGAACUUUUUGAUGAAUCAUGGUUUUUUAUUUGAACCUUCACCAGAAAACUUCUUUUUCUUGUUACUUUGUGGUAUAUUUUCCACAAUGUUGGCCUUGGGAUCCAUUAUACUAUCCAUAGUACACUUUUCUGCAUUUCUAUUAUUUUCUUCAAUCCCAAGUCGGACCACAAGUUCCUCAAGUUUUAUCUCUUUGCGUUUAUGCUUGAGAUAAUUUUUGAAGUCUUUCCAUGAGGGUGACAAUUUUCAAAUUAUUGAUGCUACCUGAAAAGACCCACUCAAAGUCAUAUUCUCAGCAUGUAUAUCAUGUAGAAUUACCUGGAUUUCCUAAACCUGACUGAUUACAGUUUUGGAGUCCACCAUUUUGUAAUCCAGAAAUUUUCCAACGAUAAAUUUUUUUGCACAGCAACUUCAGUUUUGUACUUCUUCCCUAAUGAAGUCCAUAGAUUUUUGGCCGAAUCAACACUACUAUACACAUUGUAUAGUGUGCUAUCUAUCCCAUUCAAAAUGUAAUUCUUGCAAAGAUAUUCUGCAUGUUUCCAUGCAUCAACUGCAAGUUACUUUUCUUUGUCAGAUUCUCCCUCAGGUAAAUUGGGAGCAUCCUCUGUGAGAAACUUUGCCAAAUUUAAAGUGGUGAGAUAGAACAACAUUUUUUGUUGCUAACGUUUGAAAUCAACACCACCAAAAUUUUUAGGUUUCUCUCCUCAUGGGCAACACCAGUUACAAGAGAAUUAAAGUUUGUUGAAGUCAUAUCUUCAAAACAAAUAAUCAAAGAUGCAAUCUCACAGUUAAUAUGCUUACUGUUAUAUUUGAAACAAAAAUAAAUAAUUAAAACAAUCAAGUUAAUUUCCUUAAUGAGAUACUUGAAUAACAAAAAAUAUUUAACACAUUCAAGAUAAUAGGCUUACUGUGAUAAAAAAAAAAAUCUAAACAAUAUGUAUAUAUAAAACAAACUAAUUUGUAUGUGUGUGAAAUAAACUAAGGCAGUGAAAAAAAAAUCCAAACAAAGUAAUCUUUAUUUAUUUAUUUAGUUUUAAUUUUGUUUUAAACUUAUACAGAUAUACAUAGAAAAUUUGUCUUAAGAUUGUUAUACAAAUUAUCAAUUGCUAAUAUAUAUUAUUAUCACAGUGAACAGAAAAAUCAUACACAAAUAUAGAUCUGAGCUCAACGAAUUCAGGUUGUCUCCUUAAGACAAAUUUACUCACCCUAGUGCUUGAGAAUUUAGAGUCAUUGCUUCCUAGGAUAGAACAUAUCAACUUUCUUCUAAAAGUAGCACCCCGUAUAGAAGAUCUACAAACGAAACCUUCUGAAUCUACCGAAUGUCAAGAUUGUGGAUAUAGAGAAAAAAUUGUUUAUAGAAGACAAAUGAUUUUUUUUUUGUGUUCUUUUCUCUCAACUAAAAUAACUUAUUUAUAGACUUUUCAUGGUAAUUCAAAAAGUCAUACUUUUUUGUUAAUAACACUUUUCAUGAAAUGAUGCAUCAACUCAUGAUGCAUCCAUUCAUGAAGAAUUAUAACCAUUUAUUCUAACUUUUCAUGAAAUGAUGCAUCCAUUCAUGAAUGAAGAAUCAUAACCAUUUAUUCCAACAUAUAGUUGCACGACAUGAUCUUGAGACAACUACAAUACAUCAAGUAAGUUCAUCUUCUCCCUUUGAAAGCUUAACUUGACCAUCGAUAAGCACCAUAAAAAAGAAAUUUACUAGUCCUCAUGCACUAGAAAAAAUCUCUAUAAAUUAUAUAGUGUAACAAGAUCAAUCAUGCAAACAGAUAUUUUUAGCACCUAUUACCUCAAUAAUUUUUGCAAAUCAAUCCAUAUGCUUUCAAACAGUUUGUUGAAUUGUUUAGCAGACAAGAUCUAGAAAGAAUAUUGGCUUUUCGUUUUCUUAAAAACGAUAAUGGUCUUAUCCUUUUUCUUUUAGGUAGAAAAUAAACAAUAAUUAAACCAACUUUUAAAAAACAUUAGUCAAUAAAAGCAUUGCCUUGCACCCAAAUAAAUCAAAGGAACGGUUAGUAAUGGGCUUAAAUUUUAAAAUUAGAAAGAAAACAAAAUGUUCAGUUUCAAAUGGGGCCAACCUAGAAUCAAUAUUUUUCUCUCCAUGUGUUUGUAAUAUUCUACAGAGUAAAAGAAAAAAAUAUCAUAUGAGGGUCAAGUAUAAGUAGAAAAACACAUGGUAUAGGCCUUUCCUAUUAAUAACAUUAAAAUAAUAAUAUUGUGACAAUUAAAAUUUUGUAAUUUCCAUGGCUAUGUGAAGGCUUCUUUUACAAAAAUAAAUAUAUGGCUUAACCCAAUGUGGGAAUAUUGGAAAGUUUUGGGAGUAUAAGUAAGUUCUCAAAUGAACUAGGAGAAAAAAAAGGGCUUAUAAACUUGCACUUAAUUUAGUUUUUAAGUUGGAUUAUUCUUCUCAUUUAGCUAUUAUAUAUGUACACAUAUGGUUUAAAAUCAUGCACAAAAUAUGUGAAAUUAGAAUACAAGUUGUGAUAUUAUAUAUCAAAAUUGAAUUGGAAUGAUCAAAUAUCAUUGUAGACAACUAUUUGGGCGAUUUGUUAUCUUUAUUCUCUACCUCACAAUUUCAUCAAUGCUUAUUUUCAUAUAUGAUUAAGUUUUCUUAUUUUAUACUUUAAAGGGAUCAAUGAAACAAAUUAUAUAUACUGAAACAUCUUUGGUUUAAGUUAGACAAUAAACGGCCUUUAAAUCCUAAACUUUAAACCCUAAACCCUUUAACGUCAAAUUGCAAAAAGAAAAUACUAGUACUAAUUAGUGGAAUCCUAUUAUGGAGUGUAGAUAGGGUAUUUGAUCCUAUAUCUAUUUAUUUAUUAUAAAAGAAAAAGACAAGAAUUUGAAUUUUAAAUUUAUAUUUUAAAACAAAAACAAAAAUAAAAACAUAUUUAAAAUUAAAAUUAAAAGUAAAGAUUUUUUUCUCCCUAUUUUUCUCGACCGUUCUUUCGUGCGUCACAACCUUCUCACUUUCUCCCAAUCUCUCACGUUUUCCUACUCUUCCACCUUCUUUCCCCUUUUAUUUCAUUUCACCAUCUAAACCAUUUCACUAUCUAAACCUACUCCAUUUAUAUCUAAAAAAAAGAGACAUUGCCCUAUAAAAGGAGAAUGAGAAGAUUCAAUUUGGGAGGAGAAUUUUUUUUGCUGCGAAGAUUAUUUGAUAGAGAAGAGGAACACACCUUGUAAGUUUUUUUCUUUUUAUUCAAGUUGAUGAUAGUGGCUUAAUUAUUUGACACCCAUUUGGGUGUUGUUUUAAUUAUUCAUUUAAAUCACUCAUUAAUUAGCUGCUGUGUUAAUCAUUUGAUACUCAUUUCACAUCUUUUAAUCAUUUGAAUCAUUUGACACCCAUUUGAAUCAUUGAUUGUUGCCCUAAUUAUUUCUGCACAUUUAUUUGGCUAUUUGACUAUUUUGAUGGUUGAGUUCUGCAUCCGUUUAAUUAUUUGGCACCAAUUUGAAUGUUGUGAGUUAAUUAUCUGAUUUGGCUACUAUUAAUUAUUUCAUUUAGUUAAUUAAUUAGCAUACUGACAAUCUAUGUUAAUUAUUUGGUCUGUUAAUUUUCUGCAUCACAUCCAUAUCCAUUUGGCCAUUGGACUAUUUUGAUUGUUGGGUUCUGCAUGUUAAUUAAUUUGACACCCAUUUGACUAUUUGAUUAGUGCGCUGAUUAAUUAGUUGUUUUGCAUCCAUUUGGCUACUGCCUUACUUAAUCAGUGUUGUUCUGAAUUAAUUAUUUAGCAUCCAUUAUUUUAUUUGGUUAAUUAAUUAAAUGAUUUGUUAAUUAUUUAAUUGAUGUCUCAAUUAUUUAAUACUCAUUUGGCACUCAUUUGGCAUACUGAUUUAAUUAUUUGUUAUCUUUUUAAUUAUCUAGGCACCAAUUUUACAUUAUGUGUUCUUGCUUUAAUAAUUAUCAAUUAGGCGUAUGUGUUAAUUGCAUUUGAAAUUUGACAUACUCUCUUAAUUAUGCAUUGUUAAUUAAUUAGCACAAUGUAUUUGACAGUUUUAAUUUUUGGCAUCCUCCAUUGUGAGCUAAUUAUUUGCAUAUCGUUAAUUAUUUUGACACUCAUUUGACCUCUUAUGUCAAUUACUCAUUCGAAUUAUUUGUAUUUUGAUUAAUUAGCAUGCAUAUUGCUAAAAUUAUUUGACAUCCAUUAGCUACUGUGAUUAUUUAUUGGCAUAUUACAUUAAACCUACCUGGGCACUCUGUAGUUAAUUAUUAUUUCACUCAUUUGACAUCAUUAAUUAUUUUACAUAUUUCUGAAUUAAUUAAUUAUUUUUCAUAUUUUUAAAUUAAUUAAUUAUUUUUCAUAUUUGUGAAUUAAUUAAUUAUUUUGCUUAUUUAUGUUUGUGCAUUAAUUAAUCAUUUUGCAUCCUUUUGAAUUAAUUAAUUAUUUUGCAUUAUUUUGAAUUAAUUAAUUAUUUUACAUCAUUUUGCAUUAAUUAAUUAUCUUGCAUGUGUUGUAUUAAUUAAUCAUAUGGUACAUUUUGCAUAUUGUUUACAUUAUCUUGUAUUUGUUUUAUGUAUUUAUUUUAUCUAACAUAUUACCCUUCAAGUAUUUUUCAAAUUUCAUAAUGUCUUGCUCAUUGUUCUUAUUCAUUUUCCAAUUGAAAUAUAAAAAUGUAAAUCGGAGAAAAGUAUUGUUUUUAUGGAUUUUAUAAUUUAAUUUCCAUGAAUACAUGAAAUUAUUUUGUUUGAAAUUUAAUUAAUAGAUUGUUUUUAAAUAAACACAUUUCAUAUUUUAAAUGAGAUUGAGUAGUGUUUCAUUCUAGAUACAUGAAAUUUCUCAUUUAAACACCUAUGAUAGAGAUUAAAAUAUCAAGUUUUGGUAUCUUAAUAUUCUUAAGGUGAAUAAAAAUCUUUUAAAAAAAAAUAAACUUCAUUUUUUAAUGGCUCUCUGCCACCAUAAUCAUCAAUUCAUGUUUGGUUUUAUUUCUUCGAUAUGAAUUGAUAAACAUGGGACAUUUAAACAAAACCUAAAUAAAAAUUUUGUUUUGUGAACCUCUAUAAUUUAAUUUAAAAGAUAAAAUUUUGUUUUGUGAACCUCUUUUAUAAUCUUCUCAUUAGUUCUUCAAUACAUUUAUAAGUUCUUUAAGUUAUUGCAUACUAGUUUCCUAAUUAUACAUUCAUAACGUAGCAUAGGUAGUUUCACCAAACCUUUCCCACAUAGGCACUAAAGCCUUCAUUGAUGUACUUGUCUUAGACCCUAAAAUAUUUGUUUUGUAGGGAUGAAAUGGAUAUUUAAAGCUUUCAUUUUUAAAAUUUAAAAAUAAAAUUACUAAAAAGUAAAACCUAAAUUAAUUGGUUUUUUUGUUAAAUUCAAUUUUAAUUAAUUUAAAAAUUAAUGACUACCAAAUAACACCAGAAUUAAUUCAUUAACAUUUAAUUGAAUUAAUCAAUCAAAACAUUUAAUUGCUUAAUUAUGCAAACAAAAUGAUGAGUUUGGCUGAUGAAUUAAUCAAUUAACCGAUUUUUUAUAAAUUCUCUAUAAUACGUUGGAAAAUUGAUAAAAGUAGCACAAAUUAGGGCAUUGCUUGACAAAGAUUUUCUGUAAAUUAAAAUAUGGACGUGAUAUUGACAUAAAAUUAAAAAUGUUAUAAAAAUAUUUAAUGUGAUUUAAGUUGUUUGGGGGAAGGGUUAUGUAUGUUGUGUUAUGAAAUUUAUUUUUUAUACAUUUUUUUUAAAAUUUAUAUUCUAAAUCCAAAUAAAAUUUUGUAUAUUUAAUUUACUAAAUUAUUCUAUUUUCGUAAAACAAUUUUUAAUAAUUUCUUUAAAUGUGACGUCUAUUUCCAACAUUUUUUACGUUGUCGUCAUGUGCAAAUAAUUUAUUGAUUUUUUAAAGAAAUUUGUAUUCUAAAUCUAAUACACGGAUUUCUUUGACGUAAUUGUUACGUGUAAAUAAAUUAUUAAUUUUUUAAAGAAAAAUCAUAUUCUAACUCCAAUACACAGAUUUUAUAUAUUUAAUUUAUCUAAUCGUUCUAGUUUUCGUAACACAAUUUUCCUUAAUUUAUUUAAAUACAAUAUGAACUUUUUUUUAAGUAAUCAUUUCGGUUGAAUAAAUUACUAUUUUUCUUUUAAGGAUAAAACAUUCUCAGUUUUCUUUUUUUUAUCUAAAUAUUAUGUUUUUUUUUCUCCUCUUUUUAAAUUAAAGGAUUGUUGUUCCAAGAGCAACAAAAGUAUAGAAAAAAUUAUAAUAAAUCAAUGAAAGAUAUAAAAAUAAGGAAGAAGAAAGAGAAGAAAAAAAAGUACAUUUUGGAAAAAUAUAGCAUAAUUUGGUAAAAUUAAAUUCAAAAUUAAAUUCAAAUAAAUCUUAAAUCAGAUCUUCAUUAAACUGAUUUUUUUAAAAAGAAAAUUCUUAUACAUUUAAAGUUUAAAUACUUCCCAAAAAAAAUUUUGUUAUACAUUUUUUUAGGUUGUUUAAGAAUUCUAACGUUAGUUAAUUUAAUAUUAAAUCGUCUUAUUUGAUUUUGUUUUGAUUUUUCUAUAAGUUUAAUAAAAUUCAUUUUUUAAAAUUUUAUUUAACUCAAAUUUAUCCGAAAUAGUUUAGGUACAUAUAGAUUAGUUUUAAAAUAAAAUAUUUGAAAAUGUAAAAAAAAAAAUAAAAGACAUAAAACAAUAAAAAAAAUUAAAGUAAAUAUGUGUACUAAAUGCAUAAAUUAAUCACAAUUAAUAUUUAUUUUGUAAAUAAAAUAAAUUAAAAAUAAAAUUCUUUUAAGAUUAUUAAAUUAAUUAAAAAUCAAAUGACAUUUGAUAAAUAAAAGAGUAAUUUUUUUUAUAAAAAAUGAAAUGGUAAAAUUAUGGAGAAUUGAAAAGGUAGUAUUAUAGAGAAUUGAAAAAGUAGGGUUAUGGAGGGUUGGAAGAGGGAUUGAGAAAGAAGAGAGAGGGAAGAUGGGUUAUGAUAAACCUAACACAAGGGUUAUGAUAACCCUUCCCUCAAACAAGGGUUGGGUUACCAUGACCCUAACUCAAUAGUGAUAAUCCUCCCCCAAACGACCCCUUAGUAAGAGAAUAAUAGCUAGUGUGCAAUAUCUUCACAUUUGGAUUAAUAGAUGAUAUAUUUUUUAUGGCUUAUUGAUAUAUAUAAAAGAUACUUUUGAACUCUUUGAUUAAUUACAAUGAUGGCAUUGCUUACGGCACCUUUUAAGCCUUCAAUUCGUGUGUUGACGUGACCGAAGCACUAUUUUCAAAAAUAACAAAUUUUACAAAACAUUUUCAAUUUAUACCAAAUUUUAUAAUCGAUAGUGAUUGAUAUAUGAUAUGACACUCUUUCAAAAAAAGCUAAAAACUUUUUAUUCUCAUACCUACUUAUAUCCAUAAAUUUUAAAAUUUUUAGAAAGAUCUAGACGAAUGACCUAAAUUGACUAUGAUUUUUCACAAAUGUUCUAAAGUAUAAUUUAUUUUCUUAAUUAAGAAUUCGUAUAAUUUUUUUUUUUUGACAAUAUUAACCUUUUAAUUAUUAUUAAUUAUAUAUUCUAUUCAUAAUUAUAUUUAAAUUAUUUUCUUGUUGACCGUACUUUUAAUUUAUUAUGAUUUUCGUAACUUCCUUGUAUAAAUUUGUAUCUUUACUAUGGUAAUAAAUUAAAAAUAUUGUUUUAAUGAAGUAUUUGAGUGUCAUCGUAGAGAAAAUUUUGAGUGUCAUUAUUAUUUUCGUAACUUUCUUGUAUAAAUUUGUAUCUUUUUUACGGUAAAAAAUUGAAAAUAUUGUUUUAACGAAGUAUAACACAAUCUUUUCUAAUAUGAAAUUUUAUGUUAAAUAAUUACAACCGUGAACAAUCUGGAAAAUUUUAUCCGUCGCUGACAGCUCUUACACAUAUAUACCACAUUAUAUAUACAAUAUGACAUUAUAUAAUUAUGUACCGUAAGAAGCUAAGUCCGAAUUUAUAUAUGUUAUUUAGUAUAUAUACCUCAUAUUAUAUACAAUAAUACCUUAUACAUAAUUCCUACAGAAUUUGUGUUUAAAUUUUUUGUGUAUAGAGUAAAUAUUACUAAAACAGUAGUAAACGACAUGAUCAUACUUACAUAUUUAUCAUUUAUAAAUGUAUUUGAUUACAUUAUACUUUAAUAUAUCUAUCUGCAAUCUAUAAUAGUUAUGUUUUGUGUUUUAGUAUAUAUAUAUCUCAUAUUAUAUACAAUAUUACUGAUAUAUAGUUCUAUUAUUUUUUGAUAGGUUUGGUCAAAAUGUAGUUCUUCUUCACCUUUGAAUUUUCAAUAAACUCUAGAAUAUAUCACAUUCAAAACUAGAUUUUCGUUUGUUUGCCUAUUUAAUCGAAUAUCUAAAAUAUACCUAAUAUACCAAAUGUUUCGUAUGUUUUGAAUAUAAUCUAAAAUAUACAUAAUGUACCAAAUGUUUCAUAUGUUUUGAAUAUAUACAAUAUUAAGCAUGAAAUUUCUAGCUAGAUUCUGUCAUAUAAGUUUUGUAUUUGUCGGUCAUCGAAAGUUUUCUUCUUCACCGUCGAAAUCUCAAUAAACCCUAAAAUGUAUCACAUUCAAAACUACAUUUUCAUUUGAUUGCCUAUUUAAUUGAAUAUCUAAAAUAUACCUAAUAAACCUAAUAUACCUAAUGUUUCAUAUGUGUUGAAUAUAUAUAAUACUAACUUUGAAAUUUUUAACUAGAUUAUGUUCGAAAAAUUUUGUAUUUGUCGACUGUUGAAUGUUUUCUUCUUUAACUCCAAACUCUCUAAAAUUUCGAAGUAAAAACCGUAAUCCACGUUGGAAGAAGUAGACAACUAUAUUCGUAAAAUGAAAACAUGAAAUGUUUUCCACUCCUUUCCAAAACCGUAUCCCAUGAUUUUUUUCAUUUAGAUAUUUGUUAUAAAUCAAUUAAAUAAUAGAAAUUGGUAUUAAAAUAAUUUGAGCCCUACAUUUACGUACUCUAUUUAUGAAUUUUGUGAAAUUUAUUAGUAAUUUGAAUCCUUAACAUAAUAUGAUAUAGUAAUUUAGACUGUAUGAGUUAAAAAGACCCAAAUUUUUAUUAAAACUGAACUUAUAACUAUUAGCAAUUAUUUUUUUCUAUAAAUAGUAAUUAGGUUUUGAGCAUAUUUGGGCAGAACGAAAGCAAGAGGCUUAGCUUAUCAGUAUCGAAAGAUAUGAAGAUCCAACCAACCUUUGGAAUCACUCUCAUUUUGCUUCUUUUGGUAUGAAUUUCUUUUUUCUCACUCUCUUUUUUCAUGAGUUUUUUUUUUUUCAUACAGAUAAUUGUUCAUUGCAGUGUUGUUUUUUUUGUGGCUUUUUCUUUCUUUAAGUAAUUCGAUUUGUUUCUAUUGUCUUAACCUUACCUCUUUUCUUUAAGUACAGGACUCAAAUUCUUGACUAAAUUUCAAAACUAAAAAUAAGAUGUAAAAACUACUAGGUUUUUAGUUUUCAAGGUAAGAAGUAGAUAACAAUAUAAUAGAAGAAAUUUAAUGGUUAAAGAGGGUGUUGUAGACAUAAUUUUCACAGGUUAAAAACUAAAACACCAAAGGAUUAUUAAUUAAUAGACUUUAAGAAACUUGUUUAAAAAUUUUACCAAAUAAAAUAUGUGUUGCAAGAAAUUAAACCCAUGAAAUUAAUUGAUAGUAAUCUCUCUUAUUUUUCUUUCUUUGUUGUCAUGGUGGGGCAUUAUUUAGUUUUUCAACGGCAUAGAGUCAAGGCAUGAACCCGGAGGACAAUGGAAAAAUGUGAUUGAAGAUGACUCAUUACCAGUUGUAUCACAAGAAAAAGAAGAUUGCUUUAAAUACAAAAGCCUUAAAAAUGAAAAUACUUUUUUCAACGAUAUAAAACCACGACCAAGUAUCACAUUCUACCCAAAUGAUGGAAGCAAGGACAAGCUUUUUACUAAAGAUAUUGAGCCACGACCAAGUGCCACAUUCUACCCAAAUGAUGAGAGCAAGGACAGGUUUUUUACUAAAGAUAUUGAGCCACGACCAAGUCUCACAUUCUACCCAAAUGAUGAUACCAAGAACAAGCUUUUUACUAAAGAUAUUGAGCCACGACCAAGUGCCACAUUCUACCCAAAUGAUGAGAGCAAGGACAAGUUUUUUAUUAAAGAUAUUGAGCCACGACCAAGUGCCACAUUCUACCCAAAUGAUGGAAGCAAGGACAAGCUUUUUACUAAAGAUAUUGAGCCACGACCAAGUCUCACAUUCUACCCAAAUGAUGAUACCAAGAACAAGCUUUUUACUAAAGAUAUUGAGCCACGACCAAGUGCCACAUUCUACCCAAAUGAUGAGAGCAAGGACAGGUUUUUUACUAAAGAUAUUGAGCCACGACCAAGUCUCACAUUCUACCCAAAUGAUGAUACCAAGAACAAGCUUUUUACUAAAGAUAUUGAGCCACGACCAAGUGCCACAUUCUACCCAAAUGAUGAGAGCAAGGACAAGUUUUUUAUUAAAGAUAUUGAGCCACGACCAAGUGCCACAUUCUACCCAAAUGAUGAUACCAAGAACAAGCUUUUUACUAAAGAUAUUGAGCCACGACCAAGUGCCACAUUCUACCCAAAUGAUGAGAGCAAGGACAGGUUUUUUACUAAAGAUAUUGAGCCACGACCAAGUGCCACAUUCUAUCCAAAUGAUGAUACUAAGAACAAGCUUUUUACUAAAGAUAUUGAGCCACGACCAAGUGCCACAUUCUACCCAAAUGAUGAUGCAAACAAAAAGUUUUUUACUAAAGAUAUUGAGCCGCGACCAAGUGUCACAUUCUACCCAAAUAAUGAUAGCAAGAACAAGCUUUUCAUUAAAAAUAUUGAGUCACGACUAAGUACCACGGAAUGAUUACGCCAAGAACAACCUUUUCAGGAAAGAUAUGCAAUCCUUUGGUUACGUUAUAUGAUCAACUGUAUAUGUGUGGUUGGUAAUUUACAUUUCUGUUGAUUAUUGUGGCAUGUUAAGUAUGUGUGGUUGGUAAUUUACAUUUCUGUUGAAUAUUGUGGAAUGUUAAGUUGUAAAAUAAAUAAAUAAUUUGUGGAAAAUAAUGAUUAUGUGAGCAAAGCUUUCUCAUGGGAUGAUUGUUAGAUUUAUUUUUAAUAUAAUAUUAUUAUUAAUAUGAUAUAUAUGCAUUAUAUGAUAAUUUAUUUCUUUCGGGUCUAUUAUUUUGUAUUAAGUAAAUUAGGUAAAAAAAUAACGUCUUAACUAAACAAUCAUGAUUUGUGACAUCUGUAAAUAGAACCUUAGAGAUUGAUCAUCUCACUGCUUCAUUCAAGUAGUUUACUAUUUUCUAUCAAAAAAAUUUAAUUAAGUUAAGAGAGGUCAAGUGAGAUAAACACAAUCUAUUAAAGAACCAUUUAUGGAUGAAGGUAUGUGAUUCUGUUAGUGAGUUUGAUUUAUGAAAAUUUUCCAUUGACGUGUAAAAAUAUAAUUUUAUGUUUCUACUGAAAAAUAAUUUUGUUUCGACUUUUCUUUAAUAGAUGAAGAACUAUAUUGGAUAAGAAAAGAUUAACACAAUAAUAAUAUUAAAUAAAUGAAUGAAUGGAUAAACUAUGAUGAACACGUAAAUUAUGUAUCAGUCGUAUUUUGUGUUAUGGUUAUAUAAUGAUAAUGAUAUAAAGUAUGAUUUAGAGUAUUCACUUAUCCCAGUGAUUUUAAUUAUGUUGUUUAGAUGGAAUGAUAGUUUGAUAAAAUUAUUUGCAAUAUUAGUAUGUUUGCAAAUUUUGUGAUUAGAAUUACUUAAGAGUUAUGUUAUUUGAUAUCUAUAUGUUAGGAAUAAUUUGUUAGUCACCAAAUUGACCAAAUUAGUAAGUUAUAUAGAUAUGAAAUGAAACUUAAUUGAUGAAAAAUCUUUUAUCUUCUUAUUAUGAAAAAGAAAAAUAAAAAUAAAGAAGAGGAUAAAGAUCAUCAACAGAUAAUUACACUGUCAAGAUUAGAGUUUCCAAAAUUCAUAUAUUUUUUUUAUUAAAAUUAUCCGAGAUUAAUUACAUUUUUAAUUACUCCAUUAAUAAUGUUACUAUUUUUUCAUGAUUGAGUUGCUCAACUUUAAAAUAUAAUAAAUUAUACAUGUUUAAAUUCCAUAAAAUUUGGUAUAAUAAAUUAUGUUUUAUUGUCCUUUUCCGUUAUAUUUAAAUCACAAAUAGUUUAAAGCAUCUAUUUAUUUGUGAUUAUUUGAUAUCUAUAGUAUAAAUAAUUUGUUAAUCACCAAAAUGAUCAAAUUAUUACGUAAUUUAUAAAUAUCAAAUUAAAGUUAUGUUAGUUCAAUUAUCCAUGUUUGUGAUUGUUUUGUUACAAUAUAUCUAUGUUAUGAUCAAUUUGUUGGUCAUCAAAGUGGCAAAAUUAGUAAGUCUUAUAGAUAUAUUCCAUAUUGUUUUGAAAAUGAUGAAAAUUAAAUAAUUAUUUGUGAUUAUUUUAAUAUGAUAUCUAUAUUAUGAAUAAUUUGUUAGUCAUCAAAGUGGCCAAGUUAGUAAAUUUAAUAGAUAUCAAAUUGAAGUUGAUUCAACUACGCAUGUUCACUUGAUGCUAAUGAAUGAGAUGAUAUUAUGAAACAUUAAUGAUUGUCAUGAGUGUAUUGAUCUUCGUUAUUAUAAAACAUUUAAUUUGACCAAAGGUAAUUAGUAAUUUUAUAAUUUAGAAUCUUAUUAUGGUUAAUUGAGGUGUUUGGUUAGAUAUUAUUAGUAUAUCUAAAUAUAACUAAUGUAUCUAAUUUAAGCAUUUAAAUUACCAAUUAUAUGAAACUAAAUCUAGCAUUAGUUAAGUAUAAAUAUUAUACAUUGUUUGUGCCUUCCAAAGAAGAACUUCAAUGUAUAAGCUAAUGAUUAUUUAAUAUUAUUUGAAUAUGUGUUGUAUCUUUAUGUUUAUUUCUCAAAGCAAUAAUGUAUAAGCAUGUUUAUUUUGUAAUUAAUUGCAUCAUCUGCUCUUGUUUCUAUUUAUUUGCAUGCUACAUCUAUAAUUCAGUUAAUUAACUCUAUUUUUUUUUUAUUGGUGCAAACAAAUUCGACUCUAUCUUGGGGUUUUGGUUCUUGAUUUGACACUUCUUAAGUGAAAGAUUUGUUGCACUAAUUUUUGCUAGUAGUGAUGAUGAUAAAUCUUUCUAUAAAGUUUGGGAGAGAUCAAAUAGAUUGAGUCUAGUAAUGUUUAUGUGAAUGGUUGUAGCAAACAAUAUCAAGUCCACAAUUACAAUAUUGAAAAUGCUAAGAAUUUUAUAAAAUUUAUGGAAAAUAUGAUGAGAAGGCACAUUGUUUUGAUCCAUUUGCUAAAUUCCUAGAAAGUCAUGGUAUAUAUAUGUGCUCAAUACACAAUACCAGGAACGUCACAACAAAGUGGUAUUACACCGGUGUAAUUGUACAUUAAUGAAUAUGGUUAGAAGCAUGUUUAUCUUUACAUGUGUCCUUGUGGAUGUAUGCAUUAAAAACCUCUCAAUAUUUAUUAAACAAGGUUUCUAGUAAGUUAAUUCUAAAGAUAUCUUUUGAAUUGUGGAGAGUAAGAAAACCUAGUUUAAGACACCUAUAUAUUUGGGGUUGUCAAGACGAAGUAAGAAUUUAUAAUCCACACGAAAGAAAACUGAAUUAUAUUAAAAAAAAAAACAACCAAUGGUUUCUUCAUUGGUCAUCCAGAAAAAUCAAAAGGCUAUAGAUUUUAUUGUUUUAACAACAGUAUAGGAAUAGCUGAAACUGAAAAUGUAAGAUUGAUUCCUUAGAAUGACGUAAUUAGUGGAAGUUUGAAACCACCUAAAGUUGAAAUUCAAGAAGUUAGGGUGGAAAGUUUUUCAUCUAUAACUUCUUCACAAAUUGUUGUUCAUGUAGCUAUUGACUCUAUUAACAAUCCACAAGAAUAACAAAUUAAUGGUCAAUUAAUGGUCAAACACCACAUAAUGAUGUUAUAACAAAUGAACCUAUAACUAAUGGACUACAAGAAAUAGAGUUAAGAAUAUAUGUAAGACAAAGAAGAUCAGCUAUUUCGGAUGACUGUGUAAUUUAUUUGCAUGAGUUAGAAUUUGACUUAAGUAUUAAUAAUGAUCCAGUUUCAUUUUCACAAGCCAUUAAAGAAGAUAAUUCUGCCAAAUGGUUAGAUGCGAUGAAAGAAGAGUUGAAAUCUAUGAAUGAUAAUGAAGUUUGGACCUUAUAGAAUUGCCUAAAGGAAGUAAAAGAGUUGAGUGUAAAUGGGUCUUUAAGACCAAACAUGACUCAAAUGGCAAUAUCGAAUGACACAAGGCUAGACUUGUUGCCAAAGGUUAUACUCAGAAAGAUGAUAUUGACUACAAAGAGUCUUUUUCACCUGUCUCGAAAAAUAACUCAUUAAGAAUUUAGUAGCUCAUUAUGAUUUAGAGGUUCAUCAAAUGGAUGUGAAAAAUACCUUUCUAAAUGGGAAUUUAGAUGAACAAUUGUUCAUGGAUCAACCAGAAGGUUUUAUGGUUGAAGGAAAGGAACAUAUGAUGUGUAAAUUAAAGAGGUCAAUAUGCAGACUUAAACAAGCUUCUAAACAAUGGUACAUCUUAAGUGCAAUGAUACCAUCACAUCUUUUGGUUUUAAAGAAAACAUUGUUGAUCGAUGUAUAUACCUAAGGAUCAAUUGGAGUAAAUUUAACUAUAAUCCUUGUUUUAUAUGCCUACUUACAAGAGAUCUAAUCAUCUUGAGAUGAUUGAAUAUUUAGAUUCAGAUUUUGUCGGAUGUGUAGAUACAAGAAAAUUCACUUUUGGCUAUUUGUUUCUAUUAGCUGAAGGAGCAAUUUCAUGAAAAAAUGUGAAGCAAUGUAUUGUUGGUGCAUCCCCUAUGGAGGUUGAAUUUGUAGGAUGCUUUGAGGCUACAAUUCAUGUUUUAUGGCUGCAUAACUUUAUCUUAGGACUUGGAAUUAUCGACAAUAUUGCCAAGCCGCUGAGAAUUUAUUGUGAUAACUUUGCAAUAGUUUUCUUCUAAAAACGACAAGUAUUCUAAAAGUGCUAAAUAUAUGAAAUUAAAAUAUUUUGUUGUUAAAGAAGAAAUUUAAAAACAAAGAAUGUCAAUCAAACACAUUAGCACUAAACUUAUGAUUGCAGAUCUACUAACAACAGGGAAUGUCACCAAGGACAUUCAAUGAUCAUGUUCAACAUAUGGGCAUUAGUAGAUAUCAUUAUUGAAAUCAAGAUUAUGGUUCUGUUCAUAUGAUUAGUAUAUACAUAAAUGAAUUAUGUAAAUCAAAGAGGACAUUGUCUUUGAUAAAGACACUUAUUGUUGGACCGUUAUUGAUUAUCUUUAUUAUAGAUCAUGUUAAUAGAAGAACUAUUUUAGUGAUACAAGGAAGAGAGUAUGUUAAUGCAAUGAUGUAUGACCAUCAUGAUUCUUUAGUAGUUUCUUUGGACUUGACAUGAUAUAUUACGAAGUCUAAUUUUGAGCAUUAUGUCUUUGUUAAGUAAUGUCAAUGUGGGCCAAGUGGGAGAAUGUUAAAUUUAUUUUAAAUUAAUAUUAUUAUUAACGUGGCCCAUUUAUGCAUUAUGUGUUAUUUUAUCUCUUUCAGACCUAUUAUUUUUAUAAGUUCAUUAGGUAAAAAAAAUAAUGUCCUAAUUAAACACCAUGAUAUGUGGUAUCUAUAAGCAGAACCUUAGGGUUUAGUCCUCUCACUAUCUCAUUGAAGUAGUUUACUCUUCCCCAUUAAGAAACUUAAUUAAGUUAAGAGAGGUCAAGUGAGAGAAACACAAUCUUAUAGAAAACCAUUCAUGGAUCCAGGUAUGUGAUUUUCUGACUAAGUUUAAUUUGUGAAAAUCAUUUAGUUCAAAGAUCUUGACAAUUAUUUUUUUAUAAAAUGUUAUGGUUUUAUUGUACAAACAUGAAAAUAAAACUUACAAUGAUUUGCUUCAACUUACCAGUCAACUUUCCCUAUAUCAAGUCAAAUGCAGUGCAGUUGGAUUAUUAUUAGAGAAAAAAUAAUUUUUUUCUCUUUUAUAAUUUAUUAGAAAUAUUUUUAAAUAUGGUAAAAUGAACCACGAUAUUAAUAACAUUUUUAUCAUUUAUAAUAAUUUUUCUUUUAUAGUUUAAAUUGCUAUUAUAAUCAAAUUAGGAGUGAAGGACACAUAUGUAAUAGGGAAAUUGCAAUAGAUGACAAAUAAAAUUAUAAAAAAACAACUCAUAACUCCUCUUUUUUACAUAAUUGCAAAUUUAGCAAAUAUGACUAGUAAUUGACGAUAAUCGUCUGUUUUUAAAUUUGUCAUUUUUGCAAUUUAGAAAAUGAGAGUUUGCAAUAAUAGCAAAAACAUUUAUAAUAAUAGAGCUCAUGUAAUCUAUAUUUUCUAAAUUGCAAAAUCACAAAUUUAAAAGCAGAUUACAGUCUAAUUAUCAUAAAUUACUAGUCAUAUUUGUCAAAUUUGCAAUAUGCAAAAAACGUGUUUUGAACUGUUUUUUCUAAUUUAUUUUAUCAUUUAAUGCAAUUUCUAUUUAAAAAAUGUAACUUACAUGAGUUUUAUUAUCAUAAUUUUUUUUUCUUUUUUGCCAUUUUUACAAACUCUCUCUCCUAUAUAAUAUGAGUGGUUGGGUUCAAGAAUUAUUGAUAAAAAUGUUCAAGAAUAAAGUAUUAACACAAGAAUUAUUGUUGUUGUUAGAAACAUAGCUAAGAAUAAUUUAGCAUUUUGGGGAAGUAAUAAAAAAAAUUAUCAAGAAAAUAAUGGGAUUUUUUUUAGCUUCAUUGAAAUAAUUGAUCCAAUAAUGCAAGCACAUUUUCGUCGCUUACAAAAUAAUUUUAAAAAAAAGGUAAAAUAUAAAUGAUCGAUUGUUUUUUAUUAAAAACUUAAGAACUUUAUAUUUUCGUACCUAAUUGUAUCCAUAAAUUUUUUAAAAAAAUUAUAAGACCAAAAUUAUGAUUAUUAACCAUUAUUUUCUCUAUAAAUAGUAAGUUUUGAGCUCAUGUGCACAGAACGAAGGCAGGAUACUAAGAUAUGAAGAUCAAACCAACAUUUGGAAUUACUCUCUUUUUGCUUCUUUUGGUAUGAAUUUCCUUUUUCUCAAUCUCUUUUUUUUGAGUUUUUUUUCAAUACAGAUAAAUGUUGGUCUAUAGGUUUCAUGGACUUGGAUUUUUUUUGUUUGUUUUUUUGAAGUAAGUCUAUUUCUUUUUAUUUUCUUACCAUGAUUUGCAUCUUUUCUUGAGUACACGAGUCAAAUUCUUGGCUAGAUUUCAAAAACAAAAAUAAGUUUUGAAAACUAACUAGCUAGUUGUUUUUUAGUUUUCAAAAUUUGACAUGAUUUUUUAAAACAUUACUGGAAAGUAGAUCACAACAGGAGAAAUUUAGCGGGCGUUUGGGGUUAAGAGUGACUUCUAAUAGUACGAGGAUUAUAAUAGUCUGUGUAGGGGUGUAGACUACUAUUUCAGUUUUUGUCUUAUUGCUUCCUUAAUUUGUGGUGGAUACUCUUAAGAUUUCCACUUUAACUUGACCUUCUACUUUUACUUGAUAAAUAUUUGGAAAUUAGUGGGAGAGAGGGUGUGAGGAGGAGGAGAAAGAGGAAUGAAAACAAGUAUGAUCAUGAUACUAGGGUUACAAAAAUAUUAAUCCUAGUACUAUCGUAAUAGGGUUACGAAAAUCUUAAUCCUAGUACUAUCGUAAUAUAGAGUAGACUAACUCACUCUACUUCUCUCUAUCCCAUGGCCCAACAGCCCCAAAUAGUGUUGUAGAUAUAAUUUUCCCAAACUAAAAACUAAAACACCAAAGGAUUAUUAAUUAAUAGACUUUAAGAAACUUGUUUAUAAAUUUUACCAAAUAAAAUAUGUGUUGCAAGAAAUUAAACCCAUGAAAUUAAUUUAUGGUAAUCUCUCUUAUUUUUCUUUCUUUGUUGUCAUGGUGGGGCAUUAUUUAGUUUUUCAACGGCAUAGAGUCAAGGUAUGAACCCGGAGGACAAUGGAAAAAUGUGAUUGAAGAUGACUCAUUACCAGUUGUAUCACAAGAAAAAGAAGAUUGCUUUAAAUACAAAAGCCUUAAAAAUGAAAAUACUUUUUUCAACGAUACAAAACCACGACCAAGUAUCACAUUCUACCCAAAUGAUGGAAGCAAGGACAAGCUUUUUAUUAAAGAUAUUGAGCCACGACCAAGUGCCACAUUCUACCCAAAUGAUGAGAGCAAGGACAAACUUUUUACUAAAGAUAUUGAGCCACGACCAAGUCUCACAUUCUACCCAAAUGAUGAUACCAAGGACAAACUUUUUACUAAAGAUAUUGAGCCACGACCAAGUCUCACAUUCUACCCAAAUGAUGAUACCAAGAACAAGCUUUUUACUAAAGAUAUUGAGCCACGACCAAGUCUCACAUUCUACCCAAAUGAUGAUACCAAGAACAAGCUUUUUACUAAAGAUAUUGAGCCACGACCAAGUCUCACAUUCUACCCAAAUGAUGAUACCAAGAACAAGCUUUUUACUAAAGAUAUUGAACCACGACCAAGUACCACAUUCUACCCAAAUGAUGAGAGCAAGGACAAGGUUUUUAUUAAAGAUAUUGAGCCACGACCAAGUCUCACAUUCUACCCCAGUAAUGAAAACAAGGAUAAACUUUUUACUAAAAAUAUUGAAGUGCCCUCUAUCAUAGCUAAAAACAACAUUUUUAGGAAAGAUAUGUGAUCUUUUGUUAUAUGACCAACUGGUAUGUGUUGUUUGUAAUUUCUAUUUCUGUUGAAUAUUGUGGGGUGUGUGACUUGUAAAAUAAAUAAAUAAAUUGUGGAAAAGAGUGGUUAUGUCUGAUGAGAUGAUUUGCUUCAACUUUCUUUAUACCAAGUCAAGCAGUGCAGUUGGAUUUAUUACCAGAGAAAAUACACCUUUUUUUUCUUAUAAUUUAUUCAAAAUAUUUUUAAAUAUGGUAAAAUGAACCCCAAUAACUUUAACAUUUUUUUUCAUUUAUAAUUUAAAUUGCUAAUAUAAUCCAAUCAGGAGUUAAUGCAACAUAUAUAUGUAAUAUGAGUGCUUGGGUUCAAGAGUUAUCGACAAAGAUGUUCAAGAAUAAAGUAUUAACAAAAGAAUUACUGUUGUUAGAAACCCAGCUGAGAAUAAUUUAGCAUUUUGAGGAAGUAAUAAAAAGAGUUAUCAAGUAAAUAAUGGGAAUUUUUUAGUUCGAUUGAAAUGAUUGAUCCAAUAAAUCAAGAACAUUUUCGUCCUAUUAGAAAUAAAGUAAAAUAUAAAUAUUUUAUUUUUGAAAUUUGAUCCUAUAUCUAUUUGGUCUAUGAAGUUUCAAAACAAUCAUUUUUAAGAUCUCUUUGAUGACGUUUCUAUUUGUUGUUUUCUGAUUCUCAUUCUUUGUUUUUUCUUUUUUGAGAACAAAAAUGCGAAUAUGUUUGAUAACUACUGUCAUUUUCUAUUUUUUAUAAAAAAAAAAUGGAAACAAAAAUUUGUUUGGUUAUCCUUUCUUGUUCCUUAUGUUAUUUUUCCUAAUACUUUUGCAUAUUUUUUAUUUAAAUAUUAUUUAAUUAUGUAAAAAAAAUAAAAAAUAUAUAGUUGAAUUUUAAAAAACAACCAAUUUUACAAAAUAUUUACAACCUAUAGCAAAUUCUAUCGCUAAUAAUCAUUGAUAUGUUAUGGUAAUAGAAGACCAUGAGUGAUAGAAUCCAAAAUUUUGCUAUAACUUGUAAAUAUUUUAAUUUAUUUUGCUAUUUUUAAAAAUCUCCCUUCAAAAUAAUAUAUAAAUCCAAAUUUUGAAAUUUAAAAUUGAAAAAAUAUUUUAAAAAAUAUAUUCACAAUUUAAAUUUGGAAGUUUAAAAUAACAUAUAAAUUUAAAUAUUGAAUAAAACAUAUAAAUAUAGCUCAAUAUAGAAGAAAUGUUAAAAUUAGAUCUAAAAUUUGAAAAUCAAACAAUAUACAUUGAUCUAAAUACUAAAAAUUCAAAAUUCAAAAUUAAGUUGAGGAUAUAAUUAUGAAAAGUUAAGAGGAGAAAAAAAUUAAAAAAAAUUAAAAAAAAAAUAUUCAACACGUAUAUGAAAGAUUAAUAAAGAGAGGGAAAAAAUUAAGAAAUACUAAAUAUAUAAAUAGGAAAAAUUAAUAAAAGAAGAAAUAAAAUAAAACAUAUUAAAUAAAAGAGAAAAAAAUCAUCAAAAUUGGGAUGAACCCAAGAGCUUUAGAUAAAAAUAAAAAAAUAAAAAAAAAUUAUUAGCAUGUCUUUCCAAGCUAAUUAGAGAUUUCAAAAUAUAAAAUAAUCAUAAUCAAAUGAAAUGGAAACAAGAUUAGGAGAAAUGAUUUAAAUUUUUCUAUUUUUGUCUAAUUUUUAGAAACGUUUCUUAAACUUUAGGAACAAAAAAUGGGAAUGGUUAUCAAACAUAUUUGUUUCUUAAAAAAUUGUUGAAAUUUAUGUCCCAAAACUUGUAGUUUGUAAAUUACAUUCAAUAAUCUGAUUAGUUAAUUAUUUGUUAGUGAAAUAAAACACUGUAAUCUUGAAUCUAAAUAAACAAAGGUCUUGAAGCUAUCUUGCAGACUUUGAACUUUAUAUACAGACAUAAAUUUGGAUCAAGUUUAAAUUCGUGAAUCUAAAUAAACAAAGGUCUCGAAGCUAUCUUGCAGACUUUGAACUUUAUAUACAGACAUAAAUUUGGAUCAAGUUUAAAUUCGUAGUCUAAACAGUCUAUAGUAUAUGAAUAAGAUUGGACACUUUAUUCUGAUAACACUAUGGAUGCAAUUUGUUUUGUUCAUUUAUGUAGAGACAUGACAUGAGAUUGGACACUUUAUUCUGAUAACACUAUGGAUGCAAUUUGUUUUGUUCAUUUAUGUAGAGACAUGACAUGAGAUCGUCGUAUCUAAAGAGUUUGCAUGAGACUAGACCGUUAAAUAGUCACUUUUACGUUUGGAUAGAGCUUCUGUCGAGGUUUCUUUUGCUUGAGUAUGUUUCGUGGUCAAAAUUUCGUCGUUUUUUCCUUUGUUCACGUUUUUGACAUUACGUCGGCAGAACUGUCCACACCAAGUAAAAUUGUUGGCAGAAAAGACUAUUAUGGCCACUAAGACAUAAAGGUCUUUUUGCCCACAAUCAUCAUCACGUAGGCAAAAGUAGACUUUCUGCCUACGAAAAAAUGUCGACAAAAAGAUCUUUUUACCUACGACCAUCAUUAUGUCGGCAAAAAUAGACUUUUUGGUCACGUUUGUUUCGUGGGCAUAAACUGUUUUUGCCAACAAAAAGAUUUUUGUUGAGAAAAAGGAGAAACACAACAUUUGUCGACAGAAGUAUAUAUGCAUGUGUCAAAUACAUUUUUUAAAUAGAAAUUUAAUAUUUGGCCACAAAUGAUUCAUCGAUAGAUAAUGUUUGUUUCUUUUUUAUCCAUGCACAAAACGUCGCCACAACUUUCUAACUGCCGACAUAUUUCUAGCCACAUAAAAAAUGUGGCAAAAACGAUUUUAAUUUUUUUACAUUUAUUAUUAAUAUUGUAUGCUUCUAAAUUAAUUAUGACAAAAACCAUAAUUCUUUAGUGUGUCAAGGAACAUGAGCUAUAUUAAAUUUCAUUUUGGUAUACCAAAAUAAACAAUAAUAAUAAUAAUAAAUACACAAAAAAAUGGUUAACUCAGUCAGAAAGCAUUAAAAAAAAUAGUCAUUUCCCACUCCUUCAAACUAUAUAAACCUGAAAAAGGUACAUUAAAAUGAAUAAGUAUCCAAGUACGACUUUGAAACUAAAAUUGUGCUAAAAAGUAUCUUAACUCUCAAAGCCGACCUAUAAAACAAGUUUCGAAUGCCUAAGUGUGAUCAAAAAACGCAAAACCAACUGCAAUAAAUCUAAAAAGUGUUUAAGUGAUACUUCUACAGACCAUCCAAAAAGCUAAAAAAUUAUCAUAUACUUUAAAAUGUCAUAUGUAUGUUGCAAAGCAUCCAAAGACCUAAAAAUGUCCAGAGCUAUUUUUCAAUCAAAACGGCAAGUUUAAAGUCCUAAAAUAAGUGAAGGUUCAAACAAGAUGCAAUUAACCUAAGUGUUUAAGUGAUACUUCUACAAAUUACCAUCUAAAAACCAAAUUGUGAAAUAUUACCAUAUACAUUAUUAACUACUGUAACUACAGGAUUGCCACCAAAUAUUUCAACUCAAAUAUAAAAAUAAAUGUAAAAUGUAUACAUGAUUGACUAAUGUAACCGCAAGAUAGCCACACAUAAUAUUGAAACAUACUUUAACAAAAUAUUUUUAAAAUUUUAGAUUAGAAAGUGUUUUCACUCUGCUCCACAAUUUGCAUUGAUGCCUCAUCCCUAACUACCUUUACAUUUGUAGCUGCAUCUUUCCACUUCGAUCUGACAAGCUUCAGGUAAAUUUUAAAUUUUUUUUAAUUCAUCAUAUUAAUAAAUAGUUAGGUUUUUAAUUCCAAUUAGUUGGGUUUUUAAGUCCCAAAUACCAAAUUAUACAAACAAACAAUAAUAUUAAAUAUUAACAAGUUGGCAAAAGGGUAAUUGUCAUAUCAAUUAAUUGAAAAAAUGUAUAUGGUGAUUGUAGAAACCUAAAGACAAUGCAAAUGAAAAUGAGAAAAAACAUACCUCGCCCUUAAGCACAAUAUCAGUUUCAGUGUGGCUAUUUUGAUAAGUGAUUUCCAAGAAGUCAAUCAAGAAAAUCCUCUUUGUGAGAGUUAUAUAUUGCCAAACUUUAGUUUUUCCUGGAAUAGGCGUAACUUUGCAUACCUAAUAAAAGAAAGUCAAAGUUACAUUUUAUGUAUGUACUUGUAGGUAAUAAAGAACAUUCUUUAUACCCAGAUGAGAAAAUUUAAGAACAAGCAUUAUUAAGGAAAAGGGAAAAGGGAAGAGAGAAACGUUUUUGCACACUAUCCUUACAAACCAAAGUAUUUGAAUACUAACCGUUUUGCCCACAACUCAUUUAGUCUCUUUUUAUUAUGUAUUCACUCCUUGAACAUAAAUAAAUUUUAUUUGAAGAUGACUAGUUUAGAAGAUAAAGAGAUUGAAAUUAACUAACAUGAAGUUCACACUGAACCACAAAAAAAAAUUCAGCAACUAAAAAAAAAAAAAACUAAUUUCCAUAGUGUUGUCAAACUAGUAAUUAAGGUGAGAAAAAUUGGCACAUACUACUUAAUUUGAUUAUUAAGAAAAUGCAUAACUAAAACUUUCUUAUCCAAAUAAUAAGAUUCCAUUAGUCACAUAGAAAAUUUUGUGGAGACUGUAACAACUACAUAAUAAGACAGGUCAUAAUCUUCAACAACAGAAACUUGAUCUAUGAUAAAAAUAAAAAAAAAAGAUUAUGCCAUAAUAGAUCUUUCGCAGUUACUAAUCUGUACAAAACACAAAUUAUUGCUAUAUGGUAACAAUUCAAUCUGACUGUUUUAGUUACAACUUGUACAGAUCUUAAUGUUCAUUGCUCAUUUUUAAAAAUCAUCAGUUACACCUUAACAUAAGUGACAAAAUCAAUGAAAUGAAACUUUUUAUAUAACUAACCAAUAUCAUUCCAUCUUCAACAAAUCCCUAACAACACCAACAAUAUUCCAAUUUCAAUAAAUAAUUAAAUAUUCUUUCCAUAAAUACUUAACUAAUCUUAAUUUUCAUAAAACAAAUAAUUCUCAACAAUUACUGAAAAUAACACACAAAAAUUCCAACAUAAUUAAUUUCAACUAAGAUAAUUAAAUUUAAAAUUACCUUAAUUUUUUUCUCGGUGUUAUAGAACUAGUGAUAUUAAUGGAAACAAGAAAUAAUUUCAAGGGUAAAAUGGUAAAUUGACCUAGUUGAGAUUACCAACUAUAGCGAGAAGAGUGCAACUACAUGAUUUUAGUAUAAUGAUCCGUUAGUUAAUAAACGUUAAUUAGUGUCACGAUGUGAUUGCUAUGCGGAGCGACUGACCUCCAUCGUUUAUUUAAUUUCAAUAAAUAAAUAGUUUUUGAGUUGACAUCAACCAUAUCAAGGUGUGAUUGGUCACCCAAAGAAAAAAAAUAAAAAAGAUAGUCUACAUAAAUUCAUGAGAUUUAAGUUCGGGACUCAGUUGUGUGUAGAGAAGGUGUUAGCACCCUACAAUACCCGUAAAAUGGUUACCCAAUUUUAUCUUUUAAACUAAAUUAUAGAGUUCACAAAACAAAGUUUUUUAUUUAGAUUUUUUUUAAAUGUCUCAUGGUUAUCAAUUUACAUGGAAGAAAAUAAAACCUAAGCAUGAAUUGAUAAUAUAGGGUUGGCUAGAAGGUUUUAGACAGUAGCAGUAGAUACAACAUGUUAUAUAAUCAAUCGUGGACCUCACAUAGGUUUUGAUUGUGAAACACAGUAAGAUGUGUGGUCUGGUAAGCCUUGCAUAUUACUCUUCAUUAAGUGUUUUUUUCUUUGUUGUACUAUCUACUAUCAUGUUAAUGGAGGUGAAUUAGAACUAAGAGUUAAAAGGAAUGGAGUUUAAAGGGAUAUAGAGUCUGGUCACCUUUUGAAAACAAAGUUAUCUUUGAUAGAAAUGUGAUUUUUUAUGAAAAAUUUGUGCUUAACUUAUCUAUAAAGCUUGUUUUGAAGUGUAAUGAUGUGGGAGAUAGCAAUAUUGUUAAUAAACAUGUAGAGAUACAAUUCACUUCAGAUGUGGAUGAAUUACAACAAGGUGAAGAAGAUCAACACGUUUAUACAAAAAUUGUAGUUUUUCCAGAAGCUAAUUAAUUGAGUGAUUGAAACUUUAGAAGUGUUGUGCCUAAGAGUUCUUGUUCACAAGUACAUCAAUCAAGGAUAGCUUGUGGCAGAGCUAGAAGAGUUGGUGUUUAACCUAUAAAGUGGUAUGGGUUUGAAGGUAUGGUUACUUUUGCACUAUAGGUUACGAAAGUUGUGGAUUUCCACGAGUCAUUCUCCUAUAAAAAAGUUGUUUCGUGUAGUGAGUUUGUUCUUUGGCUUGCUACUAUGGCAUAUGAGAUGGAAUCUUUGGAUAAGAAUCAAACUUGGGAAUUAGUUAAACAACCUAAGGAGAGAAAAAUUAUCACUUGUAAAUGGGUCUUAAAGAAAAGUAGGGAAUCACCUUUAGCGGGGGAUAUUUUUAUUAAUUAUCUUAAAUUAUUUGUGUCUUAUCUUGAGGAUUGGAACUAAAAUUGAAUUAUUGGGUUAACAUAAUUGAUGUUGCAAUUUAUGAAAAUUUAAAAUAACUGAUCCAUUGAAGAAGAUUUUGUUAAUUAAAAGAAUUGAUGGUUCAUAGAGUUUAUUUAGAAUCUUAAACAAAAUGUUGGAGUUGGAAGAAUUGAAAUUAAUUAAGUAUAUAUAUAUACAUGGGUCCCUAUAUUUAUUUAAGAAUUUGAAUUUUUUUUUGUGGAAAUGUGAUAUUGAUUAUUUGGUUUUGUAUAAAUAAGUAAUAUAAAAAAAGUAUAGUUAAUUAUGUGAUGAAAUAUAAUUAUAAUUGUUGAAAAAUAAAAUAAUUAAUGAAGGAAGAGAUGAUUAAUUUGAUUUGAUGUGAAAAAAUUAUGAAUUUAAAUUUAAUCGGGAGAAAGAAUAAGGGUUUAAAUAAAGGGUUUCAACUACUUGGUCUAAAAUGGUAUAUCAUAUUAUAAGAUAAAUCCAAAUGUUUCAAAUUUUUCACAAAUGUUCUAUUUAUAUUUUACAAAAAAUAUGAGGCAAUGACCAAUUUGCUCAUCUUUAUUAUUAAUAAUAUAAAUAGAAAAAUGAAAUUAGAAAAGUGGAUCAUGAUUAAGAUUUAUAUUUAUUAGAUAUCAUGGUAUGUGAUUAAUUAUAUUAUGAUAAUAUUAUAAUCAAAAUUACUCCUUAAUAAUUUUUCUUUUCGUGAUUUUGUUUAAAAAUUCUUCCCACUCAGAUCUCUCUCACUUUCCAAUCUCUCUUUUCGUCCAUUAUUUCUAUUGUUUUGAAUUGUUUUUCAUAUAGUCCACGUAAUUUAAUAAUUUUUUUAUAUACUUCUUAUAUUUUAUCAUAUUUGCAUUGAUUUUCAUAUAAUAGAAGUUAAUUUGUAAAAUCUUACCAUGACUGAAACUGUUUUCGAUUUAAAUAGAUCAUUAUAUACCCAUGUAUAUUUAACAUAAUAUUAGAUAACAAUGUAUCUGUGCAUAUUUUUACUUUGUAACAAAUUUUACAUUAUGUGAAAAUAUAAAUUUAUAUCAAUACAAUUAGAAAAAUGUAUUGUUAAUGAUACUUUAUAGGGUAAUUGUAAUUGAUGGUCAUUUUAACCAUAAUAAUUAAAGAUAUAGCAACAUUUAAAUUUUUUUGCAAAUAUAGCAAAAUUAUCGCUGAUAGACUUGUAUCGCUAUGAGUCUAUCAGUGAUAGACCAAUAUUUGUAACAUGGUCUAUCGACGAUAGACUCCUAUCAUUGAUAGAAUUUGACAAAUUUUUUCAUAUUUGAAUUUUUUUUUAAAUGUUGCUAUUUUGAAUCUAAUAGCUAAAUUUGCAACUAUCCCUAUUUUAUAUAUAUUGUAUUAUAUAUGAUAUAUUAUGUGUCUACUACUUAAUGAUAUACUAUGUGUGUGAUGUUUAAUGUUUAAUGCUUAACGCUAUUUAAUAUAUAUUAUAACAUAUAUGUAAUAUUAUGUAUCUGCUGCUUAAUUAUAUAUUAUGUGUGUGAUGUUUAAUGUUUAAUGAUAUAUGAUGUAUAUUGCAAACUAUAUGAUACUUUUUAUGUUGUACGUUGGUAGGGUGCACCAUUGAUCCUAGAAAGGAAUAAAUGGUCUAGAGUCCAUAAACUAAAUUUUUUUUUAUUAUAUAUUUAAUUUAAGACAAAAAAAAUUAAUAACAUAAAACAAUUAGUUGAAGGAGAUGACCGUCAUAAUAUUCAACAAUUUUGGUCAUAACUGACAAUAAAUAAUAGAACUAUACGUGUUACUACUUAAGUGUUAUUUUAAAUAUACAGGUGUAUAUAUAGGUCACAACACAUAAUUGUAUUAAAUAUGCGAUGAUAUAUAAUAAUAAUGAAACAAAUAUGUAUUGGAAGGAAUAGAAGAAUAUAUCAAUAGUAUUCAUAUCAAUACAACUACCUAACUUGGACAAAAGACUAUUGUACAAGAGUCUUGAAAAAUAUGUUCAUUCACUAAUAUUUUAGAAACACUGUAACUAAUGUAGUUGUCACAGUCAUUGUAAAAUCAUCAUAAUAUACAUUGUUGACGGCACAUUUAAGAAACAAAAAAGAAAAGAAAUAAGUUUAAUGAAAUGAAUAUGCACUAACAAUCAAUAAUAUAAUUGUAUGCGUCACAACUUAUGUAUUAUUAAAAAUAUGCAGGUGUAUAUAUCCAAUAUAUCACAUAAGAGAACUAGAUUAUAUAACGUUAUAAUAGUAUAUAUUAUUGAUAGAACAUUUAAUAAACAAAAAAAAAAUGAAGAAGAUGACCAGAAUAUUGAACUCACUAAACUUUUAGUUUACGGACACUUCAAGGGAAAAUUAAACAUGAAAUAUAUGUGAAAAAAUUUACAUAAAUAGUAAGGAUAAAGAAAUAUGAACGAAAUUUUUUUGGACUUACUGGACAUACUUGAAGGAGAUGAAAAGGGGCUCAACAAAGUCAUAAUACCAAACGAAAAACUGAUUAGAGAAAAUUGGAACGGUGGACGACACUGGAAAGUAGGUUUGUGCAAAUUUGAUAUUUAGUUGAGGAUGAAUUUGAAUAAAGUGAAUUUGUAGAAAUUAUCCAAUAAAAUUAUCAUUUACAAUCCAAACGAAAAAACUGAUUGGAUAAAAUUAUAAUUAAACUCAUUAUGUCUAAGUUGGAUUGAGGAAUUAUUUUGCAACAAGGGUGAUCCCUAAGCUUAUGAUAAGUGAUUCUUCUUCUGGAUACCCUUGAGUUGGACACUUAAAAUUAAAUAAUUAUUUUUUCUAGUUAUGUUAUUGUAUGAUGGAUUAAUUUAUGUGCUAUGUUAAGGGCAUUAUUUACAUUGAGAAACUUUGAAGUAUGACAUUAUGUUAAAUCCCAUUGAUUGUUGAUUGCAUGCUAAGAUUAACAGUGGCUCUUAACUCUCCUGACAUGCUUGUGUACACCUUAUGUUCUGUGCUCCUUCGGAACCACUACUUAUGCUAUGAUUUGUGUUCCCUUGGACUCACUACAUGUGCCAUGUUAUUUACAUAUUAUGCCUAUAUUGGAGGAGUUCACCCAAAAGGCUUCAGUAGAGGGAUUAUACUAGGUAUUUUUAUACUUAUCCUUUCUUAUUUCAUGUUAAGUAAGGCAAGAAUAGGUUGGCGAAUGACAAGUGGACCCGUAAUCAGCAAAUUUGGGAUUAGGGAAUUGCUUCUGCUCAUAUUUAUUGUAAGACCCGAACCUAUAUUAAAAGUUAGAAGGCAAAAUUUAGACUAAGUAUGUAACUUGACAUUUUGGACAAAAAGACGUUUUAGUUUUAGUACGUGACAAAUAGCUUAAGGUAAGGCAGUCUGUGAGAAGGAUUUGUGGUAAGACCUCUAAGUCUAAACGCUCACAAGAGAAAAAAUAUUCACAAGAAAAGUUGGUAGUUCAUGAGAAAGAAGUCAUGCGAUAAGACCUUGGGAAGUUGUUAAGUGGUUGAAGUUAUUUGCAGAAUGGUAUUAGAAGAGAAGAAAGGUUUGGCGAGAAGAUGUCAAAUCUGAUUUUACAAGGGUUAACGUGUAAGAUUAAGAUUUUAAGCAUGACUAAAAUAAAUCAAAAUUUUACAAAUGUAAAAUUGAAGUAGGAGAUGACAAUCAUAUAAAGAACUAGAGAUGACUAAUCCAAAUUAAAAGAGUAGUAUAAAUAGAGGAUUUGGAUAACUAAGUAGGAGAUGAUUAGAGUUUUGUAGAAAUGAUAAAGUGCUGCUACUUGAUCUCUCCAAGAGGACUUUGCGAGAAGAGAAAAGUUGAAGAGUGAGUCAUUUUCUUUCAAAGUUUUGUGGGUGAAAUAUGAUUUAUUUUAAGUAUUUCAAAGCAUGUUUUAAACCAUGAUUUAUGAAUGAUUCACGUUAAAUGUUUAAGCUAUUUAUGAAUUGUUUGCAAGCAUGUUAUUGGUUCCACAAACUCUCUUCUCUGUAUGUUUUUACGAUCUAUUGGUUCCAAAUAAAAAUCUCUCUAAAAAAAUUUCCUUUCAAAACAAAAAAAAAAUCACAUAAGCUCCACAAGCUCUUUGUUGUUUUUUUAUCUUGAGAAUAACAAGAAAGACUUCGUGGUGUUCUUUGAAAAGUUCAAGAAUUCUUGGGAGGUUCUACAAAUGUUAGUUUUAUUUUAUUCUUUUCUCCAUAGAAGCAUGUUUAAAUGUUUUUAUUUGAAUUUUAUAUGUGUUUCAAGUUGAAUUUCUUUUGCACGGUAUUCACACGCUCCCGCUAUUGGAAUUUCAUUCAUUCAUCCAUUUAGGAUACUAAGUUGUUUUGUUUGACUUCAUAUGUCUGUGUUUGGGGUGCACAGAUGAGUUCAUAUGCCCUAAUGUUGUUUUUUAACUUUUCAUAAUCCAUUUUUUAGAUGACUAUUUUUGUUUUCAAACUAUUUUAUUCACUAAUUCUACUAAUCUUUGUUUGAAUUAAAUAUAUGGAUUGCAAUUUUUUUAAACAUUUUUCUUUCUUUCAUAUUUUGGUGUUUUCCUAAUGAACAAUUAACCAACUAUAUUUUAGAUAAAUAAAAUGAAAAACCAAAAAGAAAUCGAAACUUUUAAUUCCAAAUGUUUCUCGACAAAUUUUAUCAUUACAUUCUUCUCCUUCUUCUUUUUUCUAUUGUUGCUCUGUAUUUUUUUACGUUACUAAAAUUCUUAACGAAAUCUCCUCCCUCAUCUUAGUAGUCAAUGGAAUAUCACUACAUUUUUUCAAUAAUUCCACUUUCAUUUCCUCUACAAUUGAAGGAUUAUAAAAAUAAAAAAAAAACAAAUCUUCAUUUUUUUUCUUAACUUUUUGUUCCACUGUUCUACUUCAUACAAUUGAAGGUUUUCGAGGGGCACAAAAUUGUCAUUGAAGUUGGUUGCGGAAGGUGGUUGUCGGAGUGGUCAUCAAAAUGAUUGUUAGAGCCUAAAAUUGAUCAUUAUAGGUAGUCGUCUGAGUUAUCAUCGAAGCUCAAAGUUACAUCAAAGUUGAAAAUGUGAAAGUGGUCGUUUGACUUGGUUCCCCAAAUGUAGCAAUGGUAGUUGCCUACAGUGUCCAAUUAAAGUAGUAUUGAAAGCAUUAGAAGAAAUGGGGGUCAUGGGUGAGUUGGUAUAAUAUACCAACUAGGGUUGACAACGAGGUCAGGGCUAGGGAUGACAAAAAUCCCCUUGAGGUUGGCUCCUGCAAGCACCCGUCGUGUUUGGGGGAAAGGGAAUCCCUAAUUUGACUAGGGAGCUUAUCCCAUCUUUGUCUCCGACCUCAACUUGAUUUUUUUCUAUGAAAUAUAAAUAGUUUAUUUUUUUUAAUUAUUUUUUAAAGAAACCCUUAUACAUACAUAUGUACAUACAUAGAUACGUAUAUAUUUGUUAUAUUGGUUUUUUUCUACUUAAAAUUUGGACUAGGAGCUAGUUUUGUUAGUUGUUUUUUUAAUUUCGUCUAAUAAUUAAAAUUUGUUAAAAUAUUUGUGAUUAUUUAAAUUUAUUUUAAAUAAAAAUAACUUUAGAAAAAAGAAUGAGUGAAAAUUUUUUCGUGUGAGACCUCAUUCCCAAACAUUCCCGUCGUGUUUGGGGAGUGCCCUUGUUCAGAGGCCCAACCUCGUUGCCAACCCUAGCCGGGGUGAGACACAUACAUUUAUGUUUAAUUUCUAUCCCUGUCCCCACCUCAUUCCUUGUUUUAGGGAUCAAGGGCAAGGUCUCGAAUCCUCAUUCGAGAGUUGGGACUCAUGAGAAAAAAAUUGUUGGUUUCUUUAUUUUUUUUAUUGAAGUUUGAAAUUUAAAUUAGUAUUUUUUUUAAAUGGUAAAUUUAUAAAAUGGUUAAGUUAAUUUAAUUCAUAGUCUCUAAACUUUGUAUCUUGUUAUAUUUUGAUUACUAAAUUUUUAAAAAUAUUUAUUUUAGACCUUGAACUUAAAAAAACAUAUUUUGAUUCUUGUCAUUAAGAUUAAGUGCUAUAAUGGUCACUUUAAAAAAUGUAAGAUUUAAAUUUUCAAUUAGAAGCUACUAAAUUGAUUUUUUUUUGUGUGAGAACUCAAAAAAUCAAAUUUCCUUUGAGAUUUUAAUUGUUACUAUUUUGGCACAAUAACAUUAUACUCGACUUUAUCCACGUACAAAUAUUUUAGUAUCUCAUGUUUGAGAUAUUUUGUGAUUCUUUGAGCUUUUUCUUCUUUCUGUCAAGAGUUGUGGUUCAUUUUGAAAAUAUUUAUGUAUAAUUUCUUAAAAUCUAUUUUGUAUAUGAGUGGUACAUAUUUUUUCUUACCAAUAUACCAUUUGUAUUUUAAUUAAUUUUUUUAUUUUACUCGAUGUUCUUUUAUUUGGAUGUAUUCGUAUAUUAUACGAGCUCAACUCAAAAUAUAAAGACUAAAUUGGUAAGUACAAAUAUUUAAAUACUAAAUUUUCAAUUAAUAAAAGUUUAGAGACAAAAAAAAAAAAAAGUAUUUUGAACCUUAAUUAAUUAAAUAUUUAACCUUGAGUAAAGUUUUGUAAAAAAUGUAUUUUGCAUUUUCCCCUCCGUUUAUGGAAGCAAAAAAUUGGAAUCGUAAUUUCUCUAUGUAUCAUGGAAGCAACAAUAUAAUCAGCAACAAUGGAGUUCUCAAUAUCAAACACUAUCAUCUUCUUCUUCCACUGAAUCCACCAACCUCCAACCAAGUCCUCAAAUGGAGGACAAGCGUCGCGACACCGCCAAUAUACCUUCCAAUACUACCGAUUCUCCCUCAUCGGAGCCGCCUUCUUCUCGCCGUCGUGCUGGAGCUCACAAGCGAAAGGCUAGCGCUCUCGGUGCCUCUAACACCUUAUCCGCUCCCUCCAAACGUGUUACUCGCGACAAAUCUGCCCUUUCCCAUCCUCCAAAUCAUAACGGCCCCUUCACCCGAGCUCGACUUGGCCCUAACAAUGUCGCUGGAGCAGCAUCGGCUGGAGGUCUUGCUCCCGGAUCAGUUAAGGCGGACGGCUCUUUACUUCAUUCCGAAGUUCAGCGUGGAGAUGCGUUACUUUCUGCGGCGGAGGAAUUGAACAAGGCGACUAGAUUGGCGAAUUUGGAGGCGUCUUUUGAAGUUGAUUACGAAGCUAUUAAAUCCCGAGGUGCAAAUGUUCAUGUUGUUCCGAAUCAUUGUGGUGAGUUUUGGUUUACUCUUUUGCAAGAUCCUGAUUUGUGCAAAUUAUUGUAGGGGGUUUGUGGAAAUGACCUCCAUGGUGUAAAAAGGGUGUAAUAGGGGGAAUUUUUGAAGUAAGGGCUUGGUAUUUAUAUGGCUUGAAGAAAAGCUUCCCAAUUUUCUUUCUUGUAAUUAGGAAUCCAGUUUCUUAGCGAUACAUAUCUAAAAGUACAUUUGGCUUCGUUAAUCUGUUUCGAAGGAAGUUUAGUGUAUCUUUUCAUUUGGUGAAGAAUUUCUUAGCAAAACGUGGGUAGUUUAGGAAAUGGUGAGGGAGAAAUAACAGUUGAAUGUUGAGCUCCUUCAUUUCUGAAACUGUGAUUGUAUUGGAAGAAAAUGCGACAAAUUUAAGACUUCUGGAAUCUGAUAGUUUCCGGGUGAUUGUGCAGAAGGAUGGUUUAAACAACUGGAAAGGCACAUUUCAAUUUCAUAACUUUCUAGCUCAUUUGUGUUGGCUUUGUUCUAUUCCUCAUCUAGUAGAAAACCUUUUAAAUGUCAAAAUUAUAUUAUGGUUUCAAAAGCCAUGCUGCUUCUGAUGAAUGCGUGCAAACAUUAUACUGUCGUCUAUUCAGUGUAUUAUCACGUAAAGAGCUUAGAGUGAAGGAGAAAAUUUAGGGUUGGGGGCUUUGGUGUUUAAGUACCUUGAACUUUCAAAUUAUUAAUUAAUUUUUUUAUGUGUAAUUUUAUUUUGUAAUUCAAUGGCGUAUGUUGCUUGCCUCAGUUGUCUGUGUCAUGGAAGUCCAAUGGACCAAUGCAUUUUUGCAUUAACCUCAAGAUGUAAGCUUUCAACAUUGCAAAUUUAUUUGUCCUCAGCUAGUCAUUUAUGCAGCAUGGCAGCCUAAUAGUAUAGCUGCUCUACAGUACUCAGAUUCCUAUUUAAUGGUGCAUUAGGGUUCCAAAUUGAUUUGUGUGGGGGUUGAGAGUUCCAAAUUAAGCAUGAUUACCUUGUGGAUAACCAUCUGAUAUGUGAAAUAAUUAGAUCUCUGCUGUCUUGAAUUGGUAGACAGAACUUCUUGAUGGCCUAAAGAGGGAGUCAAGCAUUAUUUUCUGUUUUCCAUUCUUCUGGCUGGCCUUCUAUUUCUUGUGAAUGGUUUGUUUCUUAACAUCUUAAUUAUCUAGAAUAUGUAACGGGAGAAGUUAUCUGGUUGGCCUAGUGCUACCUUAGAAUAACCGGCCAUGCAAUAAGUUUAAUUCUUCCAUGCUUGACAGAAUUUAUUUUCUUCCUUUCUGGUUCCUUAAACGAGUUUAAUCCAACGCUUUCUUUCUGUAAGUUUAAUUAGUAAAGAGAGUACUGAAUGAUAUAAUAUUAAAUUCUUCUUUGCUCAUAAGCUUAAGCUUUUGGAUCAGUCGGUGAUUUAAGAUGGUAUUAGAGCAAAUGGUCCAGGAAACGUCCGUCUUGUUUCAAAACCUUGCAUUGUUUUUUCUUCCUCAAUUAAAAUUGAUUUAUACUUCUGGUGCAUUUGUCAUAGCUCACAAGUGUGGAGAGUGUUAAAUGAUAUAAUAAUAAAUUCGUCUUCACCCAUAAACUUAAGCUUGGGUUGAUUGAUAAUUUAAGAGAGAGAAUGAGAGAUCUAUAAAUUUGUUGAUUAUUGAUUAAUCUUUAUUUUCAGGUUGGUUUUCAUGGACAAAAGUCCACCCAAUUGAGGAACGCACAUUGUCUACUUUUUUCAGUGGAAAGGCUGCCAAUCGAAGUCCAGAUAUUUAUAUUGAGAUACGUAACUGGAUUAUGAAAAAAUUCCAUGCAAAUCCUAGUACACAGAUUGAAUCAAAAGAUUUAUCCGAACUGGAAGUUGGAGAACUGGAUGCUAGGCAGGAGGUGAUGGAGUUUCUAGAACAUUGGGGUUUGAUUAAUUUUCACCCUUUCCCAGCCACAGAUUCAAUUUCAACAAAUGAUGUUAAUGAUGAAAAUCAAAAGGAUUCUUUGGUUGAGAAGUUGUUUCACUUUGAAACAUUAGAAUCCUGCCCAUCUGUUGUCCCAAAAAUUAAUGCCACCACUGCGGCUCCUCCUAGAUUGCUUCGAGAAUCUACAAUUUCUGAAGAGAUUGUGAGGCCUGAGGGUCCAUCUGUUGAGUACCACUGUAACUCGUGCUCUGCUGAUUGCUCUCGCAAACGUUACCACUGCCAGAAGCGGGUUGGUUUUCCUCUUGUUUUGUUUGUUUUUUUUUUUAAAUAAGAAAUAAAGGAAUUUUAUUAACAAGCAAGGAACAGCCUGAGGGGAAGGAGAUAAGAAUGCCCCUUUGGCCCUUCCCAUAAAAUGCUAGUGAGUAUCAACCUUCUGAUCUAGAAUUUCAAAAAGGAAUCUUUAUGUCCCUGACAUCAUGCAGAACUCAGCGGCAGUUUGGUUUUCAAUUCGAAAUUCCUUUCUUUAAACAAUUCAUUGUUAAAGUAUCAAACACCAAUUUUAGAAUCACAUGGAUGCAAAAUCAUGACAUUAAAUUUCAUCAGUUGCCUGAUAAGUCAAAAGUUACAUAUAUACAUAUUUAAAUACAUAUCAACUAAUAAUAUUCAUCUUUGACAGGCAGAUUUUGAUUUAUGUUCGGAGUGCUUUAACAAUGGGAAAUUUGAUUCUGAUAUGUCUUCAUCAGAUUUUAUUCUCAUGGAGUCUGCUGGGGUUCCUGGUGCUAGUGGAGGUAAGUGGACAGAUCAGGAAACUCUCCUCCUCCUUGAGGCUUUAGAGCUUUAUAAGGAAAACUGGAAUGAAAUUGCAGAACAUGUGGCCACCAAAACAAAAGCCCAAUGCAUAUUGCACUUCAUUCAAAUGCCAAUUGAGGAUACCUUUCUUGAAUCGGAGGGUAAUGUCGAAGUUGGUGGAAAAGAAACUAUUGCUCCACCUUUAAUUGAAAAUGAUUCAUCAGUUCCUUCUGAUAUCACUGAAUCUGUGGAUAAUAAGGCUACUGGAAAAGAGGCUUCGAGUGUAGAAAAUGCGAGCAGCAAGGAAGAUACAGGUGAGGUAAAAGUUGGGCAGGAUAAUCCAAAAUUAGAGGAUGUCGAAGGAAAAGCUUCACUAGUUAAGUCUGAAUCAAAAGAUGAUGAUGAGAAGGUUUCUGAAGACAUUGCCUUGAAUGCUUUGAGGGAGGCAUUUGAAGCCAUUGGUUAUGUAUUAACCCCUGAGCACUCACUUUCAUUUGCUGAUGUAGGGAACCCUGUCAUGGCACUGGUAAGUGGAAAUUUAGGACACAAGAACUAAUGAAAUAGGUAGGCAUCCUAAUUUUUUUGGUUGGUCUUGAUUGUUUUUUAUCCGUUGGUACAUUUCAAACCAACUAUAGUAGAUUUUCUUUUGUCCUUUGUCAUUUUCUCUGAUCAAUAUAUGGUAAUUUCAUUGUUGCUCUGAAUCAGUUUAGGAUUAAGUCUAAUGGUUUCAAAGUUUCUCACUUUCCAUUAAAAAACAAUCUAAAAGAAAAAACCAGUAUUGAGGUUUGUGCAGCAAACCAAAACCUAUAAGAUGACCGGACUGCAAAGGAGCAAUUUAAGGUUCACAUUGUAUGAAAUUUUCUACUUUGCUUGGAGGUGUAUGCUAACUUUGUCAAUUCUAGUCUCUUGCUAUUGUUUUCCUUUUCUUCUUAUAUAUUCAAUUCAAAUUUUCUUCCCUAGAAAGUGAAGGUUUAUCAGCCUACCUUAGCAUUCUAGAAUUUUAAUUUGUCAUCUGUGUUUGUAGAUGAACCAAGUUUUGGUAGUUACGAGUUCUCGUUCAUUGGCUUCUGUCGUUGCUCAGGAUUACCUUCUGUUUAGUUAUUAUAAUACUUAUCAUAUUUAUAGAUGGAGCAGAAAUGCUGAAUCCUGUACUCUUUCUCCCUUUCCUGGAAUUAACACUCCUUCAAAUCAUAAAUUUCAUUCCUGAAUGUUGAACUAUUUAAAUAUUUGCUUUUCAGGCUGCAUUCCUUGCACGCUUAGUUGGAUCAGAUGUUGCCAGUGCAUCAGCCCGUUUUUCUUUGAAAAGCACAUCUCAGAAAUCUCCCAGUUUAGAACUGGCUACAAGGCACUGCUUUAUUUUAGAAGAUCCACCGGAUGACAAGAAGGCACAAGAUAAUUUAGAGAGGUACAUGAGACAACUUGUCAUGCCUUUUUCAGUUUGUUUCUGUUCUUUGAUCCCACUGAUUCUUUUGCAGCGUCGACAAUGUGGAAGCUCAGAAAAAUGAUAAGGAACAGAGUGCAAAACAGAGUGAAGACAAUUCUACUUCAAUCUUAGAUGAUAGAGCCUUAUCAACUAAUAACAGUAAUAACAAAAGUGGGGAAUCUGUGACAAAGGAAACAACGGAGAAUGGAAAUUCUUCAGAUGCUAUUAGAGAACACGAUCCAAUCACCAAUCAUGGUUCAGAUACGUCUAGUAAUUUGAAAGAAUUGGGAGAAAAAGAAUUGUUGAAGGAUGAAAAGACAGGCAUUGUGAAGGAAUCUGAAAAUUUAGAAUCAAAAUUGACAUCAAAUCCAGUUGAAACGUCGGGAGAAGGAACUACUGGUGAAAAACCAUUAGAAUCAACGAUGUCAUCAAAUGAUGUACAUAUGUCAGAUUUGCAGCAUGCUGAAAGAUCUGAGAUUCAGAAACAAGUUCCGCCUCAUUCUGCCAAAAUAUCAAAAGAAUUAGAUGAUGAGACAAAACGUUUAUCAUCUGGGGAUGAGCUUCAACCAAUAAGUUCUGCUAAUUCUGUGAAAGAAGCCUCAAACGAUGUAGCUAUGGUGUCCGAUUCUCAUGAUAAGAAUGAGGCUGGACAAACUGAAACACCUAAAUCUUUGGUUAACGAGGGAGCAAUCAAGGUCUCUGAUUCUUUGCCCUCAGAAGAGAAUGAGAGUUCAGAACCUGUCAAACCAAAUUCAGUUGUUGAAAGAAGAGCAGGUACGUGUCCCGUUCUAAUUUUGUAUUUUUGGACCUUCCACCAGUUCAGGUUACAUUUUUCAAUAUUUUCUUUUAAGAGAAACAUUUAAUCAAUAUUUCAUUGAUGAAUGGAAUUACAAAAGAGCACCAUCUUCCAUGAAAGAUUACAUCAGACUAUUCAACAAGAUGAUAAAAGAGCGGUGAUGUUGUAAUUACAAAAAUAAGAAGUGAGUUUAUACCAAGAGAGAUGUAACAAAAUGUGAUCAAAGAAUAAAAUGAAGUCCAUAUCCAUGUCCUAGAAGAUGCGAUGAUUCCUCUCAUUCCAGAUGAACCAAAGAAGGCCUUUGAUGAUGAAGAAUAAAAUCUAUCCGUCCUUUUUAAAUGGAUAACCGCAUAGGAAGCAUAUUCAAGAGGGUGAAGGGGUCGUUUGGGAAAACCAAUGGGUAAUCAAAAGUGUUCAGUACUUGGUUCCAGAACAACUGAGCAUACUCACAAAAAACCAGGAUGUGCAUAAGGGGUUUGCAGCUUUUAUGGCAUAAAACACACCAACUCGGGGAAGAAACAAUCCAGGGAUCUGUUUUUUUAUCAGGGUGUCGGUUGUAUUGACGCUGCCAUGGCCAACUUCCCACUGAAAAAACCGAAACAUUUUUGGUAUAGGACCCCUCCAUAUAUUUUUGUAGAAGGCAGCAUGGUGGGUGUUCCCCUCAGAGGCAAGAUAAUGAGAUAGAGAUUUAGAAGAAAACUGACUAGAUUUAUCAAGAAUCCAUUUCCAAGUGUCCUCAAUCAUAGGUCUUGACGGAGGUGCAGCAAAUUGGAUAAAAUAGACCACUCAAUAAUUUCAGCUUCAUUUAGGUUAGGCCUCAAACCAAGGUCCCAAUCCUUGUCUUCACUCUUCCAACAAUGAGCAAUGGUCACCCAAGGAUGCCCACUCAUCAUUGCCAAUGAUAUUGACAAUAUUUUGAUGAAGAAGCUCCACCUUUUCAACAAUAUGUUUCCAAUGGCCUUUAAAUUGAUUUAGAUAGCUACAGCGAGGCUGAACAGAAGAUCCUUAUUUAGCAUCAAGAACGUGUCUCCAUAAAGCCCUCCUUUCGAUAUGAUAUCUCCAAAUCCAUUAGUGAAAUUGUUCAAGGCUUUUCAAAUCUUGCUCAUCCCAAGAGAAUGGGGAAUACAAGUUAUUUCCUAUUGAUUUUGAUUUGUUUUUAGGAACUUUCUCAAAUACUUUGAUGUAUGUUUCUGGGGUAAAAAAAGAUCAUCAAGAACUGCAAUAGGAAUGCAGGACUUUUUGUUAAGUUUCCUACUAAUACUAAACUCGGAUGUCCAAUGUCUUUAUGCCAAAUUCAUUUUGUCUGAGCUCUAGAAGAAAAUCUUGUUCAUUACAGGCAUGAUAGACCUUUAUCUACCUGAUCUCCUGCCCCAGUAAUCUGAGUAAUUCAAGUGGUUAAGGCUUAUGCCUUAAUCAAAAGGUUAGAGAUACUUCAUCUUCAGAUGUUUGGUUGAACUAAUUUUUUUUUUUGAAUAAUAAUAAAAAUUUCCAUACUCCUUAGACUGUUCUGUUUGAUUUUUUGUGAUUAGUUCCAUCCUCUAUCAUUUCCUAUAAAAAAAUAAAAAUUUAAAACAAAAGCAAAAUGGAUUUCCUAUCUGCCUGCUAAUAGGAAGAUUCUUUCCUCCAGAUUUGACCAUGCUUGUAGGCAAGAGAACCGAGUUUGAUCAUUGUGCAUAGUUCUUAGUUCAAAUUGGAAAUAGCCUUUGGCUAGUUGUAAAUUCUUAUCCUUCUUCUUAUUUUCAGGAGUAAGGUGCGCAAGGUUUCUGUGGUUUGCUUGGACAUUCCUCCAUGAAAAAAUUUGUAGUGGUCAUGAAUUGUGGAACUGAAUAAACAAGUGUGCUGACUAAAAAGAUUUGGAUAUUGGGGAAAAAAUUGUGUAAUUUAAGGGUCCAAGGUGUUUAGACCAGAGAUGCUUGAAAUGAAAGCAGAAUUGGGAAAGGUUGCAUAUCAGAGAAGGAUUGUUCAAAUAAAAUGUUCAAGUGUUAAAGUUUAACCUUAAUGGUUCAAACACAUGAAGUUAACUCAAAUCUUUCCACAAUAUUUUCAGUGAAGGAAGAGUCGGAAAUGGAUUAGUAAAUGAUCAGAAACGAUGGAUCUUAUGUUGAAUCUCUAGAAGAAUUUCAUCGAAUGUUUUUCUUGGAAAUCUUUCUUUGAAUUCAUGUUUAGGGAGGAACGUUAACUGGACUACUGGAGACUUUUAGGGAAAUUAUCUCAAGAUAAGCACGACUUGUUUAUCAUUUAAGAGACAGCAUUAAGAGGGUUCAUGGGAAUCCAUUCAUAGCAUUUAGAAAGGUCGUUUUUAUGGAGGUAUCUUCAUUGUAUGCAAGUCACUACCUUCCUAGCAUGAGACUCAUGGAUCAUAGAAUUUAUUCCUUCACUUCCAUAAAUGUGAUUAUGGUCCUUCGAGGUAUAGGGAGAGGGAUUGUUUCUAGGAGGAGCUAGAUGUCGGCUUGGUCGGUGCGUUUAGUGCUGGUGUUUAGUCAGUGGUUAUGAUUUCACAAGGCUUCCCACUGAAGAGUCCAAUGAAGGCAGAUUCUCUAGAUCUAUCUAGGCAAGACUUCCGUUGAUGAGUCAUGAGUGUGACUUAUUGGAUCCCACUUAUGAAUAAAAUUUUUUGCAUGGCUUAUCAUGCGUUCCAUUGCAGUUUGCUGCAGCUGAAUAUGAUAUUGUUAUCCGAACAGUGUGUAAUUUUUGUUUCAUGGAUUUAUGCAAUUUAUCCAAGGAUCACUUUGGUCUGUUUCACUUUCUUUUUGGUGCAUAUCGGCUGGGACCCUUGUCCUAGAUUUAAAAUUUUGAUUAACAGUCUUUCUCGGUGGUGGUUGAAUGAUGUUGGAGGAAAGUGGGACUCUUUUUUACCUCAAAACAGAACAAUAGUAACAAUAGUUGCUAAAGAGAUCUUCAAAACUGAAACAAAGUUAGAAACUACCCUGAAUAUAAGUCACACAAACCAACCAGUUUUCACACUUAUAAUCACACAAUCCCAGAUACAUUCUAAAGGAAAUAUCCCAACUGGACAAAAAGAAUAACCCUGGAUCUUGAACGCUCUAGUUUUGAACAAUUGAAUCCCCCACCCCCACCUACCGACUCAUUAAAUGUCCUAUUAUUUCUUUCCAAUAGAAUAUUCCAUAAUUAGUAUUGGCUUAAUCCACAGCUUAUAGUUCUUCCCUUGAUAUAAGUUCCUCCUAAUAACUGUUCCACAUUUCCUUAUAGUGAACUGUCAAAAACCUGAGAUAACUUAGAAAAUUCCAAAUCUUUCUGCUGAAAGAAUUUGAGAAAACAAAUGAGAAGAUGGGAAGGCUUUAAAUUCAUGAAAAGGCUUUCUUCCCUUAGGUCCUUAUCGUGGGUAUUAGAAUGUGUCUCCUUCUUUAGUCAAACUUUCGUAAGCCAUUGAGGAACAAUAAGAUUUUAAUGGUGAGAAAUCAAGUGCUGUCUAGGAUGAAAAGAUUGUAACCUUUCUUUCAUAGAAUUGCUAGAUGCAAAACAAAACUUUGUUUAUGGUUAAUAAUGAUGUUUCAGUUAAUGAGGUGGCCCCUUUCACUUUUGAGUUGCGGGAUGGGUGCGUGAAUAUGGAGGAAACCUUUAGCUGUCUAGGGAGUUUUAGAAAUUGGAUAGUUUGGUGAAUUAUGGGAGCAAGAAAGGCCCUAAGGAGGUAGGGCCUUCUUUGUUAAAAUGUUAAAAAUGUCUCUUGGAAUGUUAGAGGUUUGGUGGGUCAGAUUGAAAGGAGGUUGGUUAAGGAGGUGCUCAGCCAAGAGUGUCAGAAUAUUGUCGUAUUGAUGGAAACUAAAAGAAGUCAGUUUUACUGGACUAUUGCUAGUAUUUGGAAGCACAUGAGGGUGCAGUGGGAGGUUCUGGAAGCUGAGGGGUCGUCUUGAGGGAUUCUUUUAAUGUGGAAUUUGAGAUCAUGUGUUGCCAUGGAGGUGGCUAGGGGUAGACAUGUUGCUUUUAUGGAUAGUGAUAGUGAAGAUUUUUUGGUUACUGGAGUCUACGGUCCCCUAAGAAUCAGAGGAAGGGGGUUGUUUUAGGAGGAGUUAGGGGAUCUUUAUGGUUAUUGUGGCUCGAGGUGGUGUGUGGCGGGAGACUUCAACACUGGUCCUCCAAUGAAAAGGCUUCUGGUGGGAGAGUUAGUUGAUCCUGAGAAUGUUUAAUAAGUUCACUGACGAUAGUGGUCUUUUUUGUCCUUCUUUAGUUGGGGGUAAGUUUACUUGGAAAAAUUGUAGGGCUGCGAUGAGGAUCAAUAGGUUUCUCUUAUCGGAGGAUUAGAUUGAGAGGUAUGGUAUCCCUAGGCAAUCAAGAGGGUCGAGAAUUGCUUCAUAUCAUUGGCUUAUCUUUCUGUCUUCCAGUUCUCUGAAUUGGGGUCCAUCUCCUUUUCGGUUUGAGAACCAUAGGCUUGAUCGCCCUUCUUUCAAAGCUAAUAUUUCAGCUUGAUGGAAUGUCCUUGUUCAAGGAAGAUGGAAGGGCUAUCGGUUUAUGGAAAAGUUGAGAGUUUUAAAAUGUCAGCUUAAAGGGUGGAAUAGAGAGGUUUUUGGAGAUAUCAGGUUUAAAAAGAAUAAGAUUGUGGCUAGGAUUGACAAGAUUGAUGCUCUGGAGUUGGAAGGUUCCUUGGAUAAUGCUAUUAAGGAGGAGAGGUUUAGCUUAAAAGGGAACCUUGUUUAGUUGAUUAGGAAGGAAAAUGUGAGCUGAAACCAAAAGUCUAAAAUCAAGUGGGCUAAGAAUGGGAAUUUUAAUACUGGCUUUUUCCAUAGAAUGGUGAGUGGUAGAGAAACAAGGAUCAUAUAGGCCUUUUGUUGUUAGGCAAUGGCGAGAGUACAAGAGAUGGUAAGGUGAUUGAGGAGGAAACCAUUAAGUUCUUCUCAAGCCUUUAUAGUUUUGAAGUUAGGGCCAAGCUGUUCGUGGAAGGUAUUGAUUGGAGCCCUAUCUUGAACAGAAAGGAUGAGGAUUUGGUGAGUCCUUUUACCAUGGAAGAGAUUAAGAAGGUUGUUUUUAUGAAACCACUAAUUCACCCAAAAGCUUAAGUUGGUGGUUGAAGACAAAUUUAAUUAUAUAUCACCAACACUCCCUCACUUGUGGGCUUGAAAUGUUUGAAAGGCCCAACAAGUGGAAAUCGAUUUUAAUUGGGGAGGAAGCAACAAUGCAGGGGCUUGAACACAGGACCUUUCUGGACCACCUGCUCUGAUACCAUAUUAAACCACCAAAUCACCCAAAAGCUUAAGCUGGUAGUUGAAGGCAAAUUUAAUUAUAUAUCACGAUGGGCUUAGGGAUACCAUACCUCUCAAUCUAAUCCAUAAUGAUAAAGCCUUUUCAAGAUCCCAUGGAAGGAUCGGUGAGUGGGGGAGUCUUCUCUUUGUUCCUUAUUUCCGCAUCUUUAUCAUUUAUUCACUUCUAAAAACUGUAUGAUAUCGGAUCUUUUGGUCAGGUUCGAUAACUAUGUGUCCUUUUUUAGGUUCCACUACAAUUUAACUAAUAGAGAAACGAUGGAGGUUGCCUCUUUUCUUUCUUUGGUUGAGGGGUGCAGUCUUAUGGAGAGGAGGGACAUUUGUGUUUAGAGUCCCAAUACUAGUCAGGGGUGUUCGAGUAAGUCCUUUUUUAUGUUGUUGGAUCUCUCCCCUUCUAGGGAGUCUGUUUGUAGUUUGGUUUGGAGGACCAAGGUUCCUAAGAAAGUUAGAUUUUUCAUCUAGCAAGUUUUGUUGGGUCCGGUUAACACUGUGGAUAAGGAGGAGGUCUACUCUUGUUGGGCCUUUUUAUUGCUUGCUUUGUAGAAUGGUGGAGGAAGACCUUGAUCACCUUUUUGGGAAUUGCCAGUAUGCGUGUGCUUUGUAGAGUUUUUUUUUUUCUUCUGAAACGAAAACAAAUUUCUUUAUUAAUUGAUAAAAAGAUACUAGCUCUAAGUACAAGAGAGUUAUACAAGAGCUAAGCAAUAAAUAAUGAUCAGUAGUCGCACCCGGAGGUCUCAACUAGGUUUGACAUCCUCCUUAAUGACCCCAUCAUAUCCAGAAGAACAAAAGCAAAAAUGGGAAAACAAACUCAAUACUAAGCCAUGAUAAUGAAUCUUUACUAGUUCAUGACUAGUAAGGAGUUUAAUACAAAGAGCAACCAUAAUAAAGGGAAGAGAGGGUAUCAACAGAAUAAAAUGAAAGAUGGAAAGAUAAAAGCUAUCCAGUUUAAGUUGAGAUCUUGGAUUGUGUACCUUCCAGAAAGUUUUGAGAGGGUGCACCAGGAAGAAGCAUUUAUGUGUGCUAUAUCAAAACGAUCAAAACAGCCCAUUGAUUUAUCAUGAAAGACUCUUUGGUUCCUUUCAAACCAAAUUUCUGCCUGGAGAGCUUUCACCACAUUUUCUCAAAGUGGUGUGGCUUCUUUAUGCAAGUUGGAACCUCUCAAUAAGGUCUUCACAUUAUCUUUAAAAUCUGCUCCAAACACCCAAGAUAGAUUAAAUUCUUUAAACAUGUUUUCCCAACAAGAUGCCGAUUAUUUACGGAAAAUGAAUACGUGCAGUGGGUCUUCUUUAUUUUGUAGACACAACGGGAAAAUGGAGGGGGAGGCAGCCGUUAGGCAGUUUAUGUUGCAUAACUGAGGAUAAAUUCAAAUUUCCCACCAUCACAAUCCAAAACAAAAUAUUCACUCUUCUCGAGCUGUCAAAUUUCCAAAUAGCUUUGUAGAGUGGUUUGUCCAGAAGGGAGGAAGGGGAUAAGUGAUGAGUAAGGGACUAGACUUUCUUGAUUUUCUGAAGGGUUUUUAUCUUCAAUUUUUACUGAGAAGUGAUUGGAAUUUGAUAGAACACUGAUACAAUGUUUCUAUUUUAUUGAUAUCUUCACAGAAAUUACAAUAUAAAAGCAGUAAAAGAAAAGUAAAAGAACCCUAACCCUCUGCCCUUCCUCUCUUUCAAGGAAUGUUGCAGCCCUAAUUCUUCACCAAAUUCUUCAUGCCCUUCUUCCCUCUCCAACUUCCUAUUUAUAACCCUCUAACUACCAGCAAAUCUAAUUACCUUUAUACCCCUACCCUAUAUUAGUCUAGGUAUCUAUCAGAAUUCUACUAUUUCCUCAUUUUUUAGCAAACGACAAAAAAUAACUGACCAUGAUACCAAUGAAAAGUCCCAGUGAUCAGCAACCGUGCCAUUGGGGAGUAUGGCAAUUUUAAAAAGUCGAGGGAAGGCGGAAUUAAAAGGAAUCUCACUCUCCCAUGGGUCUAGCCAAAAGGCUGUCCUACCAUUUCCCAAUCUAAAAGUUACUAAAACAUCUAUUUUCAGCCAUGAUCUGGAAAUGCUGACCCAAGGGCUCCUCAAACAUUUUCCUUCUUUGCAUGCAGUGUGCCAAUUAAAAGUAUCUCUGUCAUGUAUGAUUCUUACCACUUUACAUCAUAGAGAGUCUUCUUCCUCCAAGUAUCUUCAGCCCCAUUUAGCUAAAAGGGCCAAAAAUUUUGCUUUGAAGCCUCCUAAACCGAGACCUCCUGUUUCCCAUCGAACAAGUUGAUUACUUUUGCUGCCUUUGUUCCCCUCCCAAAAGAAAUUCCUUAGAAUUCUUUCUAGUUUUGAAAUGAUUCCUUCAAGCAUUAGAAAAGUAGACAUGUAAUAGGUGAGAAGGUUGGAGAGAACCAACUUACAUAAGGUAGCUCUUCCCCCUCUUGAUAGAUUGAAUCUUUUCUAUUUAUUUAGCUUUGCAUGGGUUUUAUGGAGCACUGGUUGCCAAAAAGAAGUUUGUUUAGGGUAUCCUCCCAAAAGAUAGACCGAGGUAGAUAAUGGGGAGAUGAUCUACCUUUCAUUUCAAGAUGGCAGCCAUGGACAGCAACUCACUUUCAUGAGGUUUUUCGUUGCAGGAGUUCCGUGUUAGCCAUGAUGGUUGGUCAUAGGGGUGUUCGUGCGAGGAUCAAGGAGUUCCUCUUCCAUCCAGCCUUUAGAGAAAAGGGGUUUCUUAUGGAUCGUUGGGAUGUGCGCUAUUUUGUGGGACAUUCUGGGGGAGAGGAACGAUCGAGUGUUUCAUGGUAGGGAAAGGGAUAAUAGUGAGGUUUGGUCUUUGAUUAGAUUUCAUGUUUUUCUUUGGACUUCGAUUUCUAUGACCUUUUGUAAUUAUUCCAUUAGUGACAUUCUUCUUAGUUUG
rnacentral:lncRNA from 1 species